AGCAGUAGAGGGGGAAGAACGCAAGCUCGGUAUAACACAUGCUCUGAAGAAUGCUCAUUCUCCAUGGUCCAUAAAUCGGAGGAGAGAAUCUGGAGAACCCGACCUGAGCCCACCCGGAACUCCAUCUUGUGAUUUGAACCAGUAGGUCAUUCAAAUUUGUCGUGGAAGCCCCCAAAAAUUGAGGCCGCGAAGGGCAACAGUACACUGAUUUCCAUCCUUUGCAGUGCAAGGCGAAGCUGGUGAAGAAGUCUUCGGUCACAGAUCCAUACUUGAAACCGACCUGGAGCAAGAGCGACCACGAGCUAAAUAUAGAGGAAAUGGAGUCACUAAUUGCAGCAAAUUACAAGGGUUUUAGGUUAUUUUGUUCUUUUGAUUGUACUUGCCUCUUGACCCCAUUUUGUUCCGUUUUCAUAGUGACAAGAAGCUAAAUGUUCGGUGUCUCUGCAGACUGCUCCCAGUUCGCUGAGAAUGUUCUUAUUAAGCUUGUCGCUCCAGUGAAGAUGUUUAAUAAACUCAUUGGAAUGGCCAAAGAUUGCUUUCAAAUCCAUGAGAUUAGCUGUAGUACCUUUCCAAUCAGCAAGAUAGUUGAUUACAUUGCAUGGAUUUGCUAUCCAAGAUCCUACCUUAACAUAUGGCUAUUUUGACUUACCUUCUUGCAUGGGUUUGCUGUACAAGGACUCUCUCUUAACAUAAAAGCCAGUACCAGAUAUUAAAGGUCCUUGCAACCCGUCCAUUCCACACCAUAAUAUCUGAAAGAAAGCCAAAGUUAUCGGUUAAAAAUGGAUUCAUCAAAAUAAUUUCACAUGUACGAUUUGCUCAAUAAGGCUGAGGAACUAGUAAGUGCAUAAUAAAAAAUUUGAUUACUAUUAUAGUCUUUUUCUCUCACCCCAAAUGGCGAUCUGUGUUUACUGUCGUAGAUGUCGUUCUUGCUGAUAUUAUGGAACGAUUGAGGGAAUUGAACGAAUGAAAGCGAUGGAGACAAUGUCGGGUCCAAGUGGAAGCAGAUUGCCCUCCUCGCCGAGGAUGGGUCGUUGCAAUACAUGUCACAGUCCAGCACUAAUACAUACGGCGAGUUGCUUAUCACCCCCGACACGCGAAGCUGUAAAGGAGGAGCAACAUCGAGUAGUGUGAUCGAUAUUACAAGUACAUAUUAUAUGUAUUUAUGGUGUUCUCUCCCAAGUGAAAAUGCGAAACUUGAGUAGCAUACCAGAACAUUGAGAGCUCCAGCUUUGAAGUUAUGAGGGUAAGAAGGCCUUUUUUCCCUGGAGACGUAAACAAGCAGAGGCAUUUGCUGUUGGUCAGCUUGCACAACUUCGUCUGAGGAAUUUCCAUGGAUCACCUGAAGAAUAAUUUCAAUAUUUUAUGUCUCUUGAUAAAAAAAUCUUGACUAGAGCCUUUUCUUUUGCUCAUCAAGUGGAAUGGAAUGGAACCAAAGAACUAAAAUGGGUCAGAAUCCCACGUGUCAAAAUGGGUUCGAAUCGUAAAGCGAAUGUCCAAGAUUAAUGAUCAAAUCUGUAUUUAUGGAAAAGUUAACACUGCAAAAAAUUUCAAACUAUAUCCACUAUGAUAUAAAUACUCUGACCUUUUUUUAUGUGUCAUUAAAAAUCUUAAAUUUGUCCAUAAUGACACAAAUACCCUAAACUUUCUUUUAUGAUAUAAUACCACGAAUGAAAUUGAAAUAGAUGGUAUAUAUGUCACAUAUGUAUAAGCUUAGGUUUCUUCAUAACACAAAAAAAAAUUGGGGAUAUUUGUGUUAUAGUAGUCAAGUUUAGGAUUUUUUAUGAUACAAAAAAAAAUAAAUAAAUUUGGGUUGUGUGCCACAAGGGGCAUAGUUUGGCACUUUAUUGUGGUAUUUGUCCUUUAUGGAACGAAAAGGAACAAUUGCACAACAUAAGCUUGUACUUUCGAAGUAGUAUAUGUUAAUAUAAACUUAUAUUUUGUUACAACUAUUAAUCAUUUGGUUUUUUAAUUAGCAUGAGUAAUACACAUGGCUUUUGAGGUGUAUUACUCAUGCUAAUUAAAUAUCUCUCUUACCCUUAAUAGCUGUAAAACCGACAAAUAUAUAAAAAUGGGUGAAAAUUAAAUUAACUGAAAUACUUAUAUAGAAAAAUAAAUAUUUGUUAAAUUCAAUGAAUAUAGCCAAAUUAUUAGAACUAAAUGAGGUAUUUUAAGAAAAAGAAUAAAAAUUAAAUAAAAGGCAGAUUGUCUUGAUUGGAAAAAGGUCAAAUGACAAAAAUUAUUUACUUAUUAUCUAUAUUUAAGGGUUGAGCUAAUGUAAAAAAUAUCGGCCAACAAAAAACUAUAAAAAAUCAUAAAGAAUAAUUUCCUAGACUUGACAAAACAUUAGUAAAGUUAUUUUAUGAUGCAUUUGGUAAUUAUACAAGAUUUAUAUACUUGGAACAAGAAAAGAACAUAAAUGCAUUCGGUACAACCCUAAAAAAAAUUAUUACAAUUUUUUCAUUUAUUAUAAAAAUGUCAGUGGAGACUUAAACAAUUCAUGUCUGAAUAAAUUGGACUUUUGUAAGGAUUUAACUAAUCAAGAUAUUCUAAGAUAGCCUCAGAAAAUCCAAUGUAAUAAUUAGUCAAAGAUAGAUGGUUGAAAAUAGUAGUAGAGAGUCAUACUGGUUUAUAACUCACAAUAUGAACAAAUUGAUAAUAAACCUUUGGGUAUUACAAUAAACAAAUAUAUAGACCUUUUGAAUUUUUUUAGCUGCAAGAAGAAGAGCAAACGUUGAUUGGAAAAAUGGGCAAGGACGAAACAACUGAGAAUGAAGGCGAUUCUAAAGUUGGUGUGCUUAUUUGCAUAAACUUAUCAGACCUUCAAGCAAAUGACAUUGGAAAUUCAUGGAGCACAAGCUUAUUAGACUACUAUGAAAAGAAGACAAAUGGUGAUGCAAAAAAAUUUCUCAGAGCAUCUAAUUUUUAUUAAAACAAAAUUGCAGAUGAUCUUAAAAGAUGUCUAUAAUAGAAUCUUAAGGGAAUGAGAUAUAUUCUUUCAGUGGAGUUGCCAAGCUGUCAUAACCUAGUAUUGUCUUUUGAAGAUAAUGGCAUUAAAAAAAAAAAUCCAUAUGGUAAAAUUCUAAGAGCUUAUUCAAUUUUGAAUCCAAUUUUCACCAAAUGAUUUUCACAUUUUUUUGUUAAAUUAAUUCCAAACUAGAAUUAAUACUAAAAUCUAGUAAAACAUUCAAAAUCUAAUUUCUAAAUUUUCUCCUAAAAUUUUGAUUUUUUUAAUUUUUUAAUGGGGACUUGGAUUGGGUCAAGAGACCCGGUCAGGAUGUGAGUCUUACCCAGACCUUAUGUUGAUUGUGUAAAGAGGAGCAUUAGAUUAUGCUGAGGUUGUUCCUCUAAAAUAACCUUAUUUCUCCUUUUGUUCUCGAGAAUAAAAAAGUAGAUUUUUUUUUUUUACUUCUUGUUUUUAUUGCAAAUCUAUUCCCUAACUAUUUUUAUUUUAUUUUAUUUUGAGGAAUAGAAAAAUUAAUCAACAUACACAAACAAAUUUAUGUUCUUUUUAAAUUAUGGAUAAUAAAAGAACAGAAAAAUAGAUAAAUACAAACAUAACCAAACGCGCUAUAAAUGACUAAUCAACAUUUAAGGUGAUUUAAUAAUUUUAUUGAUCAACCAUAUUUUGCAUAAAUGAACUAUUUAAAACUACAUAAUGAGUAUCCAUUUUUUGUCCAUUUGACUUUUUGGUAUAGGCCUUUUGUCCUGUAAACUUAAUUAUUUUGUUUUUCUUAAAAUAUCCUAAUAGUUUUAUAAAUAUAUCAUCAAUUUCUACCAACUAUUACUUUUAAAUAAAUUUUGGUGAAAUUACUUUCUCUCCACUUUCUUUAUUUUGUCUCUUUUUUUUGUAGAAAAAUAAAAGCUAAAAAAAUUCUAUCCAAAAAAAUGAGAUGAAAAUAUGCAUUUGCCCCUUAAUAGUCGCGUGCGCUACACAUGCUAACGAAAAAUAUGGAAGCUUCGUGGGGAUAACGUGUGAUGGUUGAAAGUUAUGGGCAAACAUGUACUCCCCAAAGUUCCGUGGAGUUUUGUGUAAUAUCUCACCAAAAAAAAAAAAAAAAUACCUCAAUGGUAGAUGGAUGAUCCAGCCUCCCAUCCCGUGAUUCACCAUAGUUCCUGUUUCUAUAUCCAUUUAUAUGCGCCUCGAACAAUUCAUACUUCUCCUUUAAAAAAGUAAAUAAUGAAGUUACAUCACUUUAAUCGACAUAUACCCUUUGUCGAUUCCUUUCAAAUCGGAGAUUAUGGCUAAUCGAACUUUGUUGCGAAAGGUUUUCCUGUCCCAGAAUCGUACUUUGAUUUUCUCAACCCAGAAGUCCCGCUUGAACCCAUCUAAACGUAGCUAGAUCAUAAAGAAAAUCUGAAAUUUUCAAAUCAAGGGGCGAGUCUAAGCAACUACUUUAUGGCCUAGUAUCCAACCGAACACGUCCAUUAAUUAAAUCUACUUUGAACCAAGAAAUAUGCGUUAAUGACAACAUUAGGGACAUUCUAGGGGUACCAUAAAUUUAGCAGAUUUCUGUACUGAGUCGUGUGGCAUUAGAUAUGAUAUGUCUUGAUUAAAUACUUAAGUAGUUCGGUCUUAUAGCUUGGCCAGAGACGGUAGGGAGUGUGUCGUCGGAGAGCAUCUUGGACAUGGGGCGUGAAGCGGGAGGGAGGUUGAUUUUUUUCAUUAGUUAUAGAAUACAUCAGCAUAAAGAACACAUUUACUGGCUAUUAUAUUCUNNNNNNNNNNNNNNNNNNNNNNNNNNNNNNNNNNNNNNNNNNNNNNNNNNNNNNNNNNNNNNNNNNNNNNNNNNNNNNNNNNNNNNNNNNNNNNNNNNNNNNNNNNNNNNNNNNNNNNNNNNNNNNNNNNNNNNNNNNNNNNNNNNNNNNNNNNNNNNNNNNNNNNNNNNNNNNNNNNNNNNNNNNNNNNNNNNNNNNNNNNNNNNNNNNNNNNNNNNNNNNNNNNNNNNNNNNNNNNNNNNNNNNNNNNNNNNNNNNNNNNNNNNNNNNNNNNNNNNNNNNNNNNNNNNNNNNNNNNNNNNNNNNNNNNNNNNNNNNNNNNNNNNNNNNNNNNNNNNNNNNNNNNNNNNNNNNNNNNNNNNNNNNNNNNNNNNNNNNNNNNNNNNNNNNNNNNNNNNNNNNNNNNNNNNNNNNNNNNNNNNNNNNNNNNNNNNNNNNNNNNNNNNNNNNNNNNNNNNNNNNNNNNNNNNNNNNNNNNNNNNNNNNNNNNNNNNNNNNNNNNNNNNNNNNNNNNNNNNNNNNNNNNNNNNNNNNNNNNNNNNNNNNNNNNNNNNNNNNNNNNNNNNNNNNNNNNNNNNNNNNNNNNNNNNNNNNNNNNNNNNNNNNNNNNNNNNNNNNNNNNNNNNNNNNNNNNNNNNNNNNNNNNNNNNNNNNNNNNNNNNNNNNNNNNNNNNNNNNNNNNNNNNNNNNNNNNNNNNNNNNNNNNNNNNNNNNNNNNNNNNNNNNNNNNNNNNNNNNNNNNNNNNNNNNNNNNNNNNNNNNNNNNNNNNNNNNNNNNNNNNNNNNNNNNNNNNNNNNNNNNNNNNNNNNNNNNNNNNNNNNNNNNNNNNNNNNNNNNNNNNNNNNNNNNNNNNNNNNNNNNNNNNNNNNNNNNNNNNNNNNNNNNNNNNNNNNNNNNNNNNNNNNNNNNNNNNNNNNNNNNNNNNNNNNNNNNNNNNNNNNNNNNNNNNNNNNNNNNNNNNNNNNNNNNNNNNNNNNNNNNNNNNNNNNNNNNNNNNNNNNNNNNNNNNNNNNNNNNNNNNNNNNNNNNNNNNNNNNNNNNNNNNNNNNNNNNNNNNNNNNNNNNNNNNNNNNNNNNNNNNNNNNNNNNNNNNNNNNNNNNNNNNNNNNNNNNNNNNNNNNNNNNNNNNNNNNNNNNNNNNNNNNNNNNNNNNNNNNNNNNNNNNNNNNNNNNNNNNNNNNNNNNNNNNNNNNNNNNNNNNNNNNNNNNNNNNNNNNNNNNNNNNNNNNNNNNNNNNNNNNNNNNNNNNNNNNNNNNNNNNNNNNNNNNNNNNNNNNNNNNNNNNNNNNNNNNNNNNNNNNNNNNNNNNNNNNNNNUGAAGGCCGCACCUGUCACCAUCAUGUCAUACAUAUAUCAUGCCUCAUGUACGCAUACCAUCGUGCCAUAGGUGCACAUACAACCAUGCACUCAUCAUCAUCAUGUCAUACAUGUACCAUCAUGCCAUAGGUGCACACACAAUCAUGCACUCAUCAUCAUCAUAUCAUACAUGUACCAUCAUAUCAUAGGUGUACACACAACCAUGCACUCAUCAUCAUCAUAUCAUACAGCCAUGCAUAUGCAAUCAUACCAUAUGUAUAUGAUUCAAUUUCCACUUUUUAUCUUUCAAUUUGAUCACCACAUCUUUCUUUCUCGGGAUCAGUAAUUGCAUUCCACGUUCUAUCACUCGCACCCCAACCUGGCAUCGCGAGAAACCUCCAGCACACACCACCGGGCAUCCGGCACCCCCACAUUCCAGGCAUCUCGCAUCCCAACUGGCAUCACGAGGCAUUCCCCGGGCACAAACCUCCAAGGCUUCCGGCACCCAACCAUUCCGGGCAUCUUGAAACUCCCGAGGACAUCUGGGCAUGUAUCUCAAUACAACCGGGCAUCCGGUUCCCCCCAUCCCGGGCAUCUUGACACUCCCAAGGCAUUAUCGGCCCACCUCCAACAGUUUCCUCAUUCAUCAUAAUUCAUAUUCACCAAUUUAUGUCUCACAAUCAACAUGGCACAUGAUGUAAUGGCAACAAAGUCAAAUUCAGCAUUUGAUUCUAUAUGCAAUGCCCAAUGUCAUCACAUGCUCAGCAAGAUUCAAUCACCUCAAUCAAUAUAAUUAAUAGGGCUCAUCCAAAACAGAAUAAUCAUAAAUUUAAGCAUUUGGAAUUCGCACAAUCCAGCUUGCACAGUUUUAGAAAAUAUUUCCAUUAAAUACCCAAAUGGCCUUUAAAAAUUAUGAAAUUGGAACAUGUGAUAGUCAAGACAUAAUGGCAGAUAUUUCAUAAAGGACACUGCACCAAAAGACCCUCAUACAAUUUGAUAUAGAUCACGCAUCACAGCAUUUCUAUUCUAUCAAUACAGCUUGCAUAGUUUUUGAAACAUUUUUGGUUAAAUAGGAAAAUGAACUUCAAAAAUUAUGAAAUUUGAAUAUGUUGCAGGAAGAAAUAAAUAAAUAUACUUCAUGAAGAAAAUUUUGCCGAAAGAAUUUUAUGAAAAUGAUAUGGCCACGCACUGAAACUGACUANNNNNNNNNNNNNNNNNNNNNNNNNNNNNNNNNNNNNNNNNNNNNNNNNNNNNNNNNNNNNNNNNNNNNNNNNNNNNNNNNNNNNNNNNNNNNNNNNNNNAUCCUAAAGUAUAUUUUUCAUGAAGUAAUCAAAGUCAGAUUCGUCCUAGAUAAUUAAAUAUAGGCGGGUAAAACUUCUGUUCCUAGUACCGAAAUUUCCAGAUUCAACACCCUCCGAAAAACCACGAUUUCACCUUGCUAUUCUUGUUGGUUUUCUCUAAUUUUUUUAUAUGUUAAAUAUCAAGAUUUCCUUUACAACUUUUGUUAAGAGAUAAAAGUGAUAUUUUCACAAGAAGUUUACUUUACAGACCACGAAACUGCUGAAGGUCGGCACAACGAGUUCCAGAGGGGAGUCUCUCCGAAAAAUGAAGAUUUCACCUACUUAUAAUUGUUUUUUUUGUCUAAAAUUUGAGUAUGUUAUAUUUAAAGAUGUCCUUAACAACUUUCAUUUAGAAGUCACGGUCAAAAUCCAACUCAAACAACACGUGCAAGCCAAUAGAACAUUCAAGGUCAAACUGUUUUCUCAAGAACAGUUUUCUAGUAUCAAACAUCCCUCUUAGAACUUCGACUUUUAUCACCCUAAACAUCCGAAAUCUAUCACCAUUCAAGCACACAUGCUAGACACAACAUGCAAGAGCAGAUUAAGAAUCCCAACUUGCCUCCAAACCGAGCAAACACGAGCACACGGUGACUGGACACGGCGACGACGAGCGACGGACGAGCGGCUUCCUUCUUCUUCGCACUCUCACUCUCCCUUUCUCUCUCGAUUUCUCUCUUUCUCUUAGUAACUCUCUCUCCCUCUCUCUUCCUUCGGACGAAGCCCUCUCUCUCCCUCUCUUUCUCGCUUAAGCUGGCCUCAUCAUCCCCUAAUUUCUUCCCCUCAAUCAUUAGCUAUGAUUAGGCAUGCAUGAAGGACACUUGGCACACUUCAAAGGACAAGUGGGGGAGGGCAUGCAAAACCGGUCUCUUCCCCUCCCCUCAUCGUGCGAUCGACAGCCCUUUAUGGGCUCGAUGGGCCGGCCAGCUUGGCCCAUCUUAGGCCCAUCCCUCUUGGGCCUAAGACCCAAGUUUAAUUAACCUAAUAUUAACCCUUUUAAAAACUAAUUAAAUCCCUAUUUAAUUAAAGCACUAAAUUGCAAAUUAAGAUAACUAUAUACUUGAAAUUAUAAAUCUAUAAGUUCCCAUUUAUCAUACAUAUAGCCAAAGAUAAAACUUCCUUUCCAAAAUUCAUCCAUUAAAGACUUGGCCAUACAUCUCAUCACAAAUCAUGGAUUAGAAGGCUAUAAAGUACAAUAUCAGUAUUUCCAUCACCUAUCCAUGGUUCAUGGCAUAUUCAGGGAUUUUUAUGAAAUUCUAGGAUGCCACAGGUCCGACCGUUGACCGGUCAACGGUCGGGUCGGAUCUCGGGUCGGUUCGAGUCACGGGUCGAGGUCAAUCCAAGCCCUAGAUCAAGCACGAGUGGACCAAGAUGUGACGCUUAGGUCGAUUAUGAUAUAGCUAGUAUGAGUACCUAGAGGGGGGGUGAAUAGGUGCCUAGACAAUUUAUCGAUAUAUGGAAGCAAUUCUUAACAAAAUGAAAUACGAUCGAGGUAUAGAGAGAGAGAAGAUUGAACACAGGAUUUAUAGUAGUUCGGCUUAUUUCAAGCCUACGUCCACUCUUCCGCACUGACAGCCCACCGGCUGGAUUUCACUAUGAUCAAAAGAGAAGUUACAGCAUAGCUUUGCCUUGAUUCCACAGUGUGGAUGUUUUAUCACACUUCCUCAAGGUCUCUCACAAAUAUAGACUCUCUUUUGUAUACAAGUAUUCGCUCAAAGGAAUUGUCUAAACAAAUAGGAACUUCAGACUUUGGAAUUCUUCUAUCGCGCACACCUCGAACAACUAAGAACAUCUUCCUUAUAUACUCCUUUAUGCCAUCAUACCCGUUGGCACUUACCAAAGGAAUUCCUCCAAUCUACCCGUUGGACGGAAUCAAUUAGGAAGAUUGUUCGAGCUAUUAAAGGAACGUGUUGAUAGCCCAUCAAUCCUGUUCGCCCAUACAAUCAGGAUCUCGGUUUCCAUAAGUAGAACCUUCCAAUAAUAAUUAGACAAUCAUCGAAUCUUCAGUCAUUGAAUCAAUCUUGAUCAAUCAAAGGAUUCUGAUACGUCUUCUCCAGCCACGAGAUCUUCUCCUGAUGAUAAGGAUAAAUCCUGAACAAAACAUCAAGUUCUGGAUAACCUUUCUUCAACGGAUUAGAGACUGUCAAUGAGGAUAGACUUUGAGUCUUGAGUCUGGCUGUCCGGAAGUCUUCAGACUUUAACUAACAGAGUCUGCUGACCUUCAGACUAGACUGAUGGAAACGUUUUGUCAACUUUAAAACACUUCACGAGGAUUUCUCCAACAAUCUCCCCCUUUUUGAUGGUGACAAAACCUUCCUGCAGAUUUGGAUAACUUUGACCUGCAAAACAUUUCUCAACCACAUAUGCAUAUCUUAUAGAAAUAAAUGGCUAAUAGAAUAACACUAGAAUCUGCAACCACAGAAAAUAGGUUAGUCCAGUAUAUGAUUAAGCCCAUUCAUAAGAUAUCAAUAUUGAUUAAUAAAGCAGUAAAAGUCAAGUCCAAGUCUAGGCAGUUCUUAUCCCAGACACAAAACAAAGUCAAAGUCUGUCAAAAACAAACAGACAGUUAAACACAAUCCAACAAACAGUUAAAAAGAUUGAAAGUUUUGAUCAAUCAUGCAUCUCUCCCCUUUUGUCAUCAUUUAAAAAGGAUGAGAUGAAAUCAAGAUUGCUUGGGAACGCGGACAAGCUGGAAAUCUUCCAUAGACUGAACAAUGCCUUCCAGCCUUUUAAAGUCUUCCUUCAGCUGUACAACCUCCUCACUCUUGGCAUUGGCCUGAUUCUGAAUAGAGAGGGCUUGCAUCUUAUCAUUCAAUGAACAGGAAGAAGUUUGACUUUCAGUCUUCAAACUUUGAACUUCGCAUCCCAAGGCAUAAAUCUGACCUUUCAUCUCCAAGAGAAUAUCCAUGAUUCUGCGAAAAUCUGCUCCAUUGUCAGUCUGAGUACUUGCUUCAGCUCGAUCUACAGGUGGAGAAGAGAUUUCCUCAGGUUCUCCUUCUUCUCUUCUUUCAGGUCUUUCUUCCUCUGCUUCUUGCUCUGUUUCUCUUUCUUCUUCUUCCUUCUCCUCUGCUUCUCUUUCUUCUUCUUCCUUCUCCUCUGCUUCUUUCGUCUUUUGUUCCGAUUCUUUCUGUGGAACAGGACGACCUAAAUUCUUCAAGGCCAUUGCAGAGAUGGUGAUGUCUUCGUCAUCAUCUUCAUCCUCAACGAGGAGAGCUCUUCUUCUUUUUGAUGAAGCAGCCAUGGGCUCCUUCCCUUUUCUCUUAGCAGCAGAAGAGAGAUGAUGAGAUUUGGCAGGAGUCUUCUCCUUGAAUUUCUCCAAUUCCUUGCUCAGUUCCUUCAGACGCAUUUUGGUCACCAUUUUCAGUCCUACCACCAUAUGAUCGCAUGAUCGAACACAAAAGAUUUGCGGAGGCUGAAUAUUCAGAUGUCUGAAUAACUUUGUAACAAGGCUUGGGUAAGGGAGUUGACCUCUGUCCUUCAUCACUGCUCUAUACAUGUGAAACAUAACAGAAUGAGGGAGAGAAAACUUCUUACCACAGAGGAUGGCAUACAUCAACUUUGCCUCAGAGCUUGAAACAUCAGUUUUGGAAGUUGAUUUCGGCCGAAGGCAAUUUAUCACAAUCUUGUGGAGCAAGAUGUUGAAUGCAUUCAUCCGUGAGUAGGUGAUCUUCUCAUCUGUUCUCCUGUCCUUCACCAGUUCAAGUGUGGCCCCAGCAAUGGAAACUUUGAUUGGUUGAUAUCUGCCUCUCUCAACUUCUAACACAUCUGCCAGCAUGUCCAUAUCCACAACAUAGUCUUGAUCUUUAACGCUGAAGGAGAAUCUAUUCGCAUCCAAAAAGCUAAGAUUUGAAUAGAAAUAUGCAGUCAAUUCAGCAUAAGCCUCAGUUGAGUCAGAGCAAAACUUUUCAAGUUGAAGAUAACUGAACUUUUCCCUCAAGUUCACUUUCACAGCAUCCAGAAAAUCAAAGUCCACACUUCUAGGGUUUAUUACCCCACGCUUCAGCAAUUUCGAGUACAGAUUCUUUUGUUCCUUUGAUCUGAACAAAUCUCCCCUUUUUCUUUGAAUUUCAGCCGCAAUACCCAUUUUCGGUUGAAAUAGACUGAACAGAUUGUCAUCGUCAUUCCCAUCUACAGGAUUCGGUCCCCAGUCACGAGGAUCACUUGGGAUAUUCGCAAGGGUUUCCUCAGCCACCCCUUUACGAGCGAUUCCCAUACUUUCCAUUUUUCGCAGAAAGAUAUAUUCGUUCCUAUAUCCUUUGUCUCUAAGAAACUCAUCAACAUAGUUCAAAGGAGUACGAAUUCCUUUUAAGGCACGAUAUAGCUUGUAAAUAAAAGCGGGCUUUUGAACUCUUACGGGGUCUGCAUCCUCGAUGAUUUCUUCUUGAUUCUGAUGAACAACGUCUUGAGGACUAGAUGGAGAAGACUGACGCUGCUGAGAAUGUUGUGGGCUCGGUUGCUGAUUUGGAGUAACUUCAUCUUCAGUAAGAUCGAAGUGCGUAGGCCCCUCGCUCAUUCUCUGUGGUCCCCUGCUUGCGAUUCUUGAGGACUUUCGUGAAGAUGACAUCUUUCUCAGUGAUUGGAAGUUUCCUUGCUUGACUUUCCCAGAAAAGAUGACAACUUUUUGAAGAUUGAGCGAAGAAGACAAACGGGAAUUGAGGAUCGAUGCUUUCUAGGGUUUUUGAGAGUAAAAUGAAUAGAAAAGUGAAGAGAAAUCAACAGUGCACAAACGGUUAAAAAGAAGAGUAAAUGAACCGUCACAAAGGAAAUAAAAAUAUGCCUUUUUAAAAUAACUGUCUUUAUCCGCAAAAAUAGUUAUUUCAAAAAUAACUUCCCUUUUGAAAAUGAAUCAAUGCAAUAUUUACGUUAAUUAAAUAUAGCAACAAUUUAAACACAGCCUGAUGAUCGUACCUUUUCAAGAUAAGAUUGGAGAGAGAAAGACUUACAGUCUGAAGGUCGAGCCAAGACAGUAGAUAAAGUCUUGCUAGCCUGAGUCUGACAGUCUUUAGACUUUGAUAUCCUCAUACCUCAAAAUGUUGAGUCUAGAGCGUAUAGACUCAAAUUGAUUUUUCUCCAAAGGCUUUGUGAAUAUAUCCGCCAGUUGAUUCUUUGAGUCAACAAAAUGAAUUGAAACAUCUCCAUUUUGAACAUGGUCUCUUAUAAAGUGAUGUCGGAUCUCGAUACGCUUUGCUCUUGAGUGGAGAAUUGGAUUUUUGGUGAGGUUGAUAGCGCUUGUGUUGUCGCAAUUAAUCUCCGUGCAUGAGUCUUCAAUUUCAAAAUCUCUUAGCUGUUGUUUUAUCCAUAGAAUUUGCGAACAGCAGCUUCCAAGAGCUACAUACUCUGCUUCAGUUGUUGAAAGAGACACAGUGCUUUGUUUCCUUGAAAACCAAGACACUGUCUUGCUUCCAAGCAACUGGCAAGUUCCUGAAGUGCUCUUUCUAUCAAUUCUGCAACCGGCCAGAUCUGCGUCUGAAUAUCCCAGAAGAUUAAAGUCUCCCUUCUUAGGAUACCAAAGACCGAUGCUUGAUGAUGAAGCCACGUAUUUAAUGAUGCGUUUCGCAGCACUGAGAUGAGAUUCUCUAGGAUCUGAUUGAAACCUAGCACAGAUGCAAACACUCAACAAAACAUCAGGUCUAGAGGCAGUAAGAUAAAGAAGUGAUCCAAUAAUGCUCCUGUACAGCUUUUGAUCAACUUUCUUCCCAUCUUCAUCUUUGUCUAUCUUUAAAGAACUUGACAUUGGAAUGUCGGUCUUUUUGCACUUUUCCAGUCCAAACCUUUUGACAAGAUCAUUAACAUAUUUUUCUUGAUAAAUAAAAGUUCCUUCCUUCAAUUGUUUUACUUGAAGACCAAGAAAGAAUGUUAAUUCUCCCAUCAUACUCAUUUCAAAUUCAUCCUGCAUAGACUUAGAAAAUUUCUUGCACAGAUUUUCAUUAGAGGAUCCGAAAAUAAUGUCAUCCACAUAUAUUUGAACAAGUAAGAAACUUUUGUUUUCCUUUUUGAUAAAUAAGGUCAUAUCUACUUUACCUUUGACAAAACCAUUUUGUAUUAAAAACUUACUUAAUCUGUCGUACCAAGCUCGGGGUGCUUGCUUUAAACCAUACAAAGCCUUUUUCAGUCUGAAGACUAAGUCUGGCUUCUUUGGGUCUUCAAACCCUGGUGGUUGUUCCACAUAAACUUCCUCAUGGAUAAAUCCAUUUAGGAAGGCGCUUUUGACGUCCAUUUGGAAUAACCUGAAAUUCUUAUAACAAGCAAACGCAAGUAAUAGUCGAAUAGCUUCUAACCUUGCCACUGGAGCGUAAGUCUCAUCAUAGUCUAUUCCUUCUUCUUGCGUAUAUCCCUUGGCCACGAGUCUUGCUUUAUUUCGUACGACUUUUCCUUUCUCGUUCAUCUUGUUUCUGAAAACCCAUUUAGCUCCAAUAACAGUUUUACCUUUUGGUUUGGAUGUCAAUUCCCAGACAUCAUUUAUGCUGAACUGUCUGAGCUCUUCUUGCAUAGCUUUAAUCUAGCUUUCAUCAGAUAAAGCUUCUUCUAUGCUCUUUGGUUCAAUUUCAGAAACGAGUGCCACAGCACUAGACUCUUCUCGCCUUUUGGAUCUGGUGCGAAUUCCUUCAUUAAUUUCGCCGAUUAUAAGAUCUUUGGGAUGACUGGACUUAUGCUUCCAGUUACUCGUUGAUUUGUCUGGUUAAUGAUCUCUUUCUUUGUUUGGAUCUUCAUGAACAUCUUGAAGCUGGUUUUCCAGAGUCUGAGAUCCUUCUUGAGUUGUAGACUUUGGAGGGUCUGGAGCAGGUUCAGACUCUUCUUGAUGAGUCUGACUUGAUUCAUCUUGUGUUGAGUCUUGAAAUUUGACAUUCAUUGACUCUUCCACAGUCUGGCUCUUCUUGUUAUAGACUCUGUAGGCUUUGCUUGAUGUAGAAUAUCCAAGGAAGAUACCUUCAUCUGAUCUUUCUUCAAACUUACCAACUCGAUCUUUUGCAUUUUUCAAUAUAAAACAUUUGCAACCGAAUACAUGAAAGUAUGAAACAAUAGGCUUCUUUUCUUUGAAUAACUCAUAAGGGGUUUUCUGAAGAAUAGAUCUUAAGAAGACUCUAUUGAUGAUAUAGCAUGCUGUUGAAACAGCUUCAGCCCAAAAUCGAGAAGAAAUUUUACUUUCAAUUAAAAGAGUUCUAGCCAUUUCUUGAAGAGAUCUGUUCUUUCUUUCCACAACUCCAUUUUGCUGAGGAGUAUAUGGAGAGGAAAACAUAUGCUUACAGCCAGAUUCAUCACAGAAUUUUGUAAAAUCUUGAUUUUCAAAUUCACCUCCAUGAUCUGUUCUUAUACUAGAGAUAACACAUCCUUUUUCAUUUUGAACCAUUUUAGCAAAUUUUUCAAAAUACGAAAAGGUUUCGGACUUACUUGUAAGGAAAUAUACCCAAGUAAAACGGGAGUAAUCAUCAACAAUUACUAGGCAAUACUUCUUACCCCCAAUACUCUGAGUUCUGGUUGGUCCGAAGAGAUCCAUAUGCAGCAAUUGUAAUACAUGAUUAGUAAAGACAUGAUUUAUUGGCUUAAAUGAAUUUCUUACCUGUUUUCCCAGAAUACAUGGAGUGCAUGAAUCAGUCUUUUGGUAUGGCAGUUUGGGUAGACCUCGAACAAGCCGCUUUGAUGAGAUUUUGGCUAAUUGCUUCAUGUUGACAUGACCGAGCUUUUUGUGCCAUAAGCUUGCUUCGUCUUGAAUUGAGAUAAGACAUUGCGAUUCAUUUGGUUUCACAUCCAGAAGAUAGAUAUUUCCAUGUCUUCGACCCAUGAAAGACUAAGUAGAGUCUUUACUGAUUCCAGAACAUGUUCCUUCUUGAAAGAAGAUCUUGAAACCAGUAUCACACAAUUGACUAAUGCUGAGAAGAUUGUAAUUGAGUCCUUCCACUAAGGAAACAUUACUUAUUGUGAGAGUUCCAAUUUUCACGGUUCCAAAUCCCACAAUACUUCCUUUGCUGUUUCCUCCAAAUGAAACUUUUCCACCAUUUACUUGAGCAAGCUUUAUAAAGCAAUUUGAGUCUCCUGUCAUGUGUCUUGAGCAUCCGCUGUCAAGAUACCACUUUACCUGUUUCUUGACGGAGACCUGCAUUUAAAAUAAAGUCUCAAGCUUUCUUUGGUACCCAAAUUUUCUUGGGUCCUUUGGUGUUAGUAAGAUAAACAGUAUUAGCCCAUACUUUCUUAACAGGUUUCCAUACCAUAGGACACUCUUUUUCAAAGUGAUCCGGGCUGUUGCACUUAGAACAUCUGAGAGCAUUUCUACCUACAGGUUUUACAAAAACUUUCUUGAAGUGAUUUUUGUAAACCUCACUCGAAAGCCUUUUCUUAAUUCUUUCUUUUACUUUAGGAAAAUCAAUCAAGGGGAUUGUCUCUUCUGUCAUACCUAGACCAGACUUAUUGAAGUAAGGUCUUUGUGCUGAAAGAAUUUUCUCAAGUUUUCAGACCCUAUAGAAAAUUUCUUUGAUAUAUUUGAUAAGUCUGUUUUUAAAAAAGCAUUUUCUUUUAAAAGAUUAUCUUCAUUUUCUUUAAGAUUGAAAACAGACAAGUCUAGACUUUUAACUCUUUCUGCUAAAACAUUUUCCUUUUGUUUUAGAGCUGAGUUUUCUUUUUUCAGUUUGGAAAUUCUUUUGAGAGAAGUCUUAAGACUAAAGCAUAGUUCAUCAAUAUAUUUAGACACUUUGACAGGAAUUUUAAAAUCACUUGCCUCAAAUUCACUGUCUGAGUCUAAUCCUGAGUCUGAUCCAGAGUCUGAGUCUGAUUGUGCCAUCAGACAUAGAUUGGCAUAUUCAUUAUCACUUUCUUCACACUCAGUAUCACUCCAGGUUUCAGCUUUGAGAGCUUUUCGGAAUUUUUCAGCUUUUCCUCUCUUCUUCUUCACAAGAGGACAGUUGGGUCUAAUGUGUCCCUUUUUCUUGCAUUCAAAGCAGACUACAUCUUUAUUUGGUUCCUCAUCAUCAACAGACUUGGUCUGCUGUCUUUGAAAACUUUGUUUCUUUGAGUUGAACCUUCUUCCUUUUCUAUUUAGUUUUCUGAAUUUUCUUAUCAUGAGAGCAAGUUCCUCAUCGUCCAUAUCAUCUUCAGAAUCUGUAUCAUCAGAAUCAUCAUUUGAUUUUAAUGCAAUGGAUUUCUUACCUUUUGGAUCUUCAUCUUCAUUGAUCCUUUCCACUUCAUAGGACUGAAGAGUUCCAAUCAGCUCGUCGAUAGAUAGUGGCAUGAUUCUCUGCGUCUCUCUUAUCGAAGUCUUUAUGUGAUUCCAAUCCCUGGAGAGUCCACGUAGUAGCUUGUUUACCUUCAUGGGAUCAGAAGUUGGUUGACCUUGAUUUUCAAGACCAUUCACAAUAUCUGUAAAACGACUAAACAUGUCAGAUAUUGAUUCUCCUGGUUUCAUUCUGAAGGCUUCGUAUUGACCGAGAAGAAUGUUGAUUCUUGUUUCCUUCACUCGAUCUGUUCCUUCAUAGGUGAUAUGCAAUCUGUCCCAAACUUCUUUUGCUGUACCACAAGAAGAUAUUCUAUUAUAUUCAGUUGGUGAUAAAGCACAAUAUAAGGAGUAAAUUGCUUUUGCAUCGAGUGUCUGUCUCUUGAUUAUUUCUUCCUGAGACAUUCCGCUGGUUUCUUCAGUUUCUUUUCCUCUUUCAGAGACUGAUGCAGUGGUAGGAGUAAUUCCUUUUUCUACAACGUCCCAUUCCAGAGGAUCCUUUGAUCGUAGGAAAGCUUUCAUCUUGUUCUUCCAGAUGUUGUAAUCCUUUCCAUCAAAGUAGGGUGGUCUAGUAUUGCUUUGCCCUUCCAUCAGCCCUGGUGCUAGCAUACUAGCCAUGGAUCUUUAACUCUGAAGUAAAACACUUCAAACAAUGUGAGUACACAGGCUCUGAUACCAAUUGAUAUAGCUAGUAUGAGUACCUAGAGGGGGGUGAAUAGGUGCCUAGACAAUUUAUCGAUAUAUGGAAGCGAUUCUUAACAAAAUGAAAUACGAUCGAGGUAUAGAGAGAGAGAAGAUUGAACACAUGAUUUAUAGUGGUUCGGCUUAUUUCAAGCCUACGUCCACUCUUCCGCACUGACAGCCCACCGGCUGGAUUUCACUAUGAUCAAAAGAGAAGUUACAGCACAGCUUUGCCUUGAUUCCACAGUGUGGAUGUUUUAUCACACUUCCUCAAGGUCUCUCACAAAUAUAGACUCUCUUUUGUAUACAAGUAUUCGCUCAAAGGAAUUGUCUAAACAAAUAGGAGCUUCAGACUUUGGAAUUCUUCUAUCGCGCACACCUCGAACAACUAAGAACAUCUUCCUUAUAUACUCCUUUAUGCCAUCAUACCCGUUGGCACUUACCAAAGGAAUUCCUCCAAUCUACCCGUUGGACGGAAUCAAUUAGGAAGAUUGUUCGAGCUAUUAAAGGAACGUGUUGAUAGCCCAUCAAUCCUGUUCGCCCAUACAAUCAGGAUCUCGGUUUCCAUAAGUAGAACCUUCCAAUAAUAAUUAGACAAUCAUCGAAUCUUCAGUCAUUGAAUCAAUCUUGAUCAAUCAAAGGAUUCUGAUACGUCUUCUCCAGCCACGAGAUCUUCUCCUGAUGAUAAGGAUAAAUCCUGAACAAAACAUCAAGUUCUGGAUAACCUUUCUUCAACGGAUUAGAGACUGUCAAUGAGGAUAGACUUUGAGUCUUGAGUCUGGCUGUCCGGAAGUCUUCAGACUUUAACUAACAGAGUCUGCUGACCUUCAGACUAGACUGAUGGAAACGUUUUGUCAACUUUAAAACACUUCACGAGGAUUUCUCCAACAGAUUCGAUCCCCACAUCUUGCUGUCGUGGUAAACCACGAAGCAUGAUAAGUUGUAAGCCAUUAGCUUGCUGCCCUUGUUGUCGUUGAUGCUUGAAUUCAAAUCGGUGUUCAUGCAGGCUAUGAUUGAUCUUAGCGAGGAGAAGCUAGAUUGAAGUGCCUAAGCCAAAUUUAUUAAAGGUUUUUGAGGAAUCUCUGUGAUACUCAUGUGCAUUGAUUUGUUUAGUGAAAUACGUGGUUUUGGAAAUUCCUGAGCGAUUUUGUACUUUUUUCAUUUUGUUAUUCUCUCUCAAAUCUGUGUAGAUAAUAUUUCAGAGUUAGAGAGGCAAAUUUGUUUGAACAUGUGUAGACUAGAGUCAUUUGUUUUUUAGAUUAAGUGCUGUCUGAUUCGAAUUGCCACCAAAGACGAGUAUCUUCAAUCAUGGGUUAGAAUGAUUUAGCAGCCUUUGAAAAUAACCAGCAUGCACGACACAAUAGGACCCUCUCAAGAAGCCAUAUAUUCCACCUCAAUGAAAGCUGUGUCUAUGAAUGUUAUGAAUAAUCCAACCCGGACCCAAUAAAACAUUCCCAAGAAGCUAUGAGUGAAAGUUAUCGUGGCAUAGACAAUUUCAUUGGUGGGGAGAGCAUGAAACUGUUACUUUAAUUGCCAUAAUAAGUUUUUAAGAAAAUUGAAUAAAAACAAAACCCACUGAUGAUAUUUCUUGAUUCUCAAGUUCAUUAUUGUCAUCGGAGAAGGUGAGUGGUGGCGAAUAACUUAAAAACCAGCUUAUGCCAAGAUCAAUGAGUUCUUGGGUGAGGAUGCAAAAUUGCAUAAUGUAGAGCAUGCGCUUUGAAGUUUGCUAAUGGGGAGGCUGCAGAACUGAAGCACACAAUUUGUAGUUUUCCAAAACUGCAUAACUUCUCAAAUAUCUUUUCGUUUUCUUCUUUUCCUAAACUGUUUAAAUUGUUUUACACUCGUGCAAGCUCGUGUGUGAGGAGUCUGAUGCAUUUGUUAAGAAGGAGGUGAGCAAGAUGAAAAAAGAAAGAAAAAAAAAAGAAAAAGGAAAAAAAAAAGUCUUUAGACGAAAAUACCCCUAGCUGCAAAUAAAAUUUGAUUGGCUUUCAAGUUGAAACCCUUAUUGGAGACUAAAUUGGUUACUUCCGGCCCUUAUUUGAUACAAUGUCCACUUUAGGCCCUUUUUUGAGAAAGCGGUUCCACUUCAAGCCCUUAAUUGAAAUUUUCCCCACAAAUCACAACCUGCAAUAGUUACAUAUAGACUGAUCUCUCCUACAUUAAAUGGAGUAGGCUUGAAAGAUCUAACUUUAUGCAUGUUUUGGACCUCUUAUACCUUAAUUUUGUGCAAAUCAAAUAAAUAUUUUAUCAUCGUCACCUAUACAUAAACUUUUUAAAGUCCUUAAUGUGAUUUUUUUUUUUAUCUCUUUUGAGUUUCACAAUUGUUGUUUCAAAUGCUUAUUACAUUUAGUUGUACCAAGAACGAUAAUAUACAUGUGAAUUGGAACUUUCUUGGGAUGAGAAUGUAUAUAACUACCGAUAAUUCGAAAUUAUUGAAUGGAAACGUGCAAAACCACUAGUAUUUUGAAUUACUAAAGCAUCCUCUUUUGGAUCUUUUCCUUUGCUAGUCUUGAAUCCAAAUCAUGGGUGUUAAUAAAGAAACAUAGACAGAUUUCAUCAACAAAACUAAUCAACUAAAUAAAAUAGAGAAAGAGAUACUAGGUAACAAGAAUCAUAGCUGAAAUCAUAUAACUUUUAAAAUUGGGCAUCCUCUUCUGAUGGUUGCUCGAUGAUUCAAGCUUUUUAUUUUCAAUUCAUGCAGAAUAUUUUCAGUCGAUUGAGUAGUUUUCCAUCAUCAAAACGCUGAAAAGUCCAAAAAUGAUUUUUCAAAAAUGGUUUUUUAUCAAACAAGCUGACCUUGAGGAUCUUACACGUACCUUUAGUAGGAAUACAAUUCAUCUUCAUCAUUGAGAUACGGAUUUUGAUUUAGCAACUGGAAGGUAAAGAAAAGACAAAAAAGAAGAGUAUAAACUCUUGACUAUAAAAAGAAGAAAUAAAUGGGAGAUGGUUAAAUUGCUUCUGUCCUUUUCCAUCAUCAAAGUACAAGCUUGUUGCUCAUUACAUCCUUAAAUAUUGCUAAAAAGAGCUAGAUAACUAAUUUUUGUCACUUCAGUGAAUCUUACGUAGUGUAAAGUUGAAUUCCGUCGGAUCUAAUUAGAACCAAUGAUAAAGUACCAAGUGUGUUGGAUUCCGAUGUAAUUGGGUAUUUGGAAGUGUCUCAUGUUGCCGAAUAUAGCAUUAGGAAUCACUAUGACAAAAGAGAAUAGAAUCAAAAUCAAUCAUGAUAAAGAUCGAAAGUAUACGCGCUUCCGACAUCAGGAGAAUAUUUGGAUCAAAGGGCUCCUUGCUUUUGAAUGAAGAAUUGAUAGAUAAAGCAUUUUGAAUAAGAGUUACUUCUUCUUUUUUACUAUACUUGUAAAUUUGCACACGUACUGCAUGUGCGCAAGAAAUCGAGGUCUGAAAAAUUGAGCAAAUUCACUUUAUUAUGAAAUGUUAAAAUUGCUAAAUAAUGGGAAACGGAUUAUUAAUAAUGAUACACAAUUCAAUUGUGUAUAUAUUUGUGGACUAAAGAAUUUCAAGAUUGAAAUAUUUUUAAGAAAAUUGUUUAAGAUUGAAAAUAUGUAUAUUUUUAUGUUAAUGCAUGUGAAGAUAUAAAAUAUAAUCGUAAGUUUAUGCAUUCGUGCAUAGACACAAUAUUUAUAAAAUAAAUAUCUAAUGAUUUUUGGGGAAAGAGAAGAACCGAUUGAGAUCAAUAUUUACAGCCCGUAAGCUUUAGAAAUUGGAAGAUGAAAAUUAUCUUUUUAAUUUGUGUUUAGCUUCUCAAGAACCCAUUUUGAAUAUUGAUAAUAGCUGAAGAAUAUGUUCCAUGGUAUUUCCCAUUUUAGAAUGCCAAAAAGUGAAAUUGGUUUUUAGAAGCACUUAUUUUAAUAUGCUUACGGCGUUCCAAUGCUUCCCACCACGAACCGCUUUCAAGCCUAGUUGCGAUAAUCUAAUUUAAGUGAGGUUGUUAUCGAUUAUUUUCAUCUACGAAGAUAUAAUAUAACACAUUAUAUUAAUCACAUAAUGGAAGCAUGCCAUAUUUACUGUGACAUCCCAAUUUUUCAAUUCUAUUUUCAAUAAAUUGAGACGGACAUUUCGUUGGCACGCAUAUAGUUCUUUUCCUUGAGUCGGCCACUCAUGUGAAAACUAGUCUAUCGGGUGAAGCCGUUAAGAAAUUCUAAUGCAUCAGACUCGAGAAUUUGACCAGGAAGCGAUCUUUCGACCGAGCUAAUCUGCAAGGGUCAUUACGGCACAAUUAAAAAUCGAUUAGAAAUCGAAAAUAGGUCGACUCGAUAGAGGCAUGUAAUCGGGUGUGGGUGAUUACACCAGAUUGCACAAUUCUUGUCGAUCGGCACUGGACCGACUUUUCUGUCGAUUGGGUACCCUGUGUUCGUAUUUGAAACCUUGAGAUUACCCCGACAACCGAAAGUUGCCAAUGUUUCAAAGAUGUACGUUGUGGCUUGAGAUAAUCAACCACGGGUCAAAUGCAUGAAAAUUUCUAAAGGCUACCCGGUAGGUUGGACCGCGCUAGUAUCGUGCCAAAGUGAAAUUAACCGUGGAAUUGAGAUCGAAUUCAGAAAUUGGAAGUCUGGGUGUGUCACAAAUCAUUUCAGGAUCAUUGAAUCAUCUUUGGAAGAUUUUUCAUGCAAUCAGAGUUUUUCAGCAAUUAAAUCAGAGAAUGGCUAAUUUGGCUCGAGAAAUUAGUAGGCUCGUCUUUGGUCGCACUUUUGGGACUUAAGUCGGUUCUAUGGACAAGUGAAGAUGUGAAUUAGAGUGUGGUGGCAUUGGAUUAAUUUUAUGGACUUCAAUUUGAUUCAAUUGGGAGAGAAUUGAUUGGAAUUGAAGGAAUUGAUGUACAAAGUUUUAUGCCCCAGCGGAAAAUGGAAUUGCAACCAUUGGAAUAAGGUUGUGGGAGAUAGUGGAGUGUGAUGUCAUCCUAGGUGAUGGUGGGCCAUUUUUGUUGGAUAAAAGAAAGAGAAAAAGAAAAUAAAAAGGGCCCCCCUCCUUCUCUCUCCUCCCUCUCUUCUUCCUCUCUCCCGUGCGACCACUCUCCAUCUCCAUUUUCUUCUCCAGCUUCGAACCUAGCAACCGGAAGCCAGCAGCCGUCGCAGCUGCAGCCGGAGCAGUCGUCGCCUUCGCCCGUCCGCUCGUCGUCGCAGCCGCGCCUCACCGCUCGGACCUCGGCCUCCCUCUCUCCUCUCUUCUCCAUCUCCGGUUUCGGCUCCAAGACCCAGCAGAUCUGAGCACGACAAGGAUGGCUGCAGCUCAGCCGGACCGUCGUUCGUCGCUCACCUGACCAACUUGCCCGUCGCCGGAGCUCGUUGCUGUCGCCAUUCGUCCGCACACAUGUUGUCUUGUGCGCGAGCUGCUCCGCCCUCCCGUCUCUGCCUCGUCCGCGCGCCAGCAGCCAUCGUCCGUCAUCCCGAGCUGCCGGAGCUCGUCCCCGCCAUUGUGAGCCGCCAUUGACCUCCCCACCGGCCCGUCCAAGCCCUCGCCGGUUUCCUCCGCCCAUUCCGACGCCGGAUCCGCCCUUCUCGGCCCCAAAUCAGCAGCUGGAAAAUGGGUAUGGCAGCCCAUGUUUAGCCCAUUUUGGUCGUCUUCCUGAGCCCGGAUGCUCGGCCCGCCUUGAGGAAAGUCGAUCCUCGCGUCGUCCCCGUCGUUUUGGUCCUUUCGGUUCGUUAAUCCGGUGAGUUUAGCUCACUAAACCUUGAUCAGAGGGUUAAUGAUGCUUUAGGGGUGCUUAGUUUAUGUUAAGUGUUAUUAGGUGGUUAGUUUAAUUUAUUUAAGUGUACAUUAUAUUAAGGUGUUUGAUUAACUUAAAUUGUGUUUAAUUUAAGGUUAAGUGAGUGGUUAUAUUAAUAUAAGCAUUGAUGUGACAUAAAGGAAUUUACUUUUGAGUUAUUUAAAUAUCCCGAAAUUAUUAAAUAAUUAAAUAAUAUAUUAUUAUUCGAAAUUAUUAAAAUAUUAUUAUUUAAUUAUUUUCGGAAUAAAUUUAAUUAUUUAUUAAAUUCUGAAAAUUUUGUCAGGACCCUAAAUUCUCAGAAUUUCGUGCCGGUCGCUGCUGUGUAGUCAGAUUUUGAAAUUGAUGAUUGGAUAUUAUAAAUUGAGUGUUGAUUGUGAUAAAUAGAGAUUUUAUUCAUAAAAACCCAAGUGUCGGGUUUGGCAUUGAAAUUGGAUUUUUAAUGGUUAAUAUCAUAAUUGGAUUAUGUGAGUGAAAUGUAAAGUAUCCAGGGAUCAGUAUCGAAUUGUCGUGUGUUGGUUGAAAGGCUCGGAUUGCAGUAGUGGCUAGGCCAACUAGACCCUUAUUUUGCUAUAAAUGCCGUCAAGAGAGUGACGUGGCUCGGGUCGCAGUAGUGGCUAGGCCAACUGGACCUUUAUUCAUUUAGAAAUGCCGUCAAGAGAGUGACGUGGCUCGGGUCGCAGUAGUGGCUAGGCCAACUGGACCUUUAUUCAUUUAGAAAUGCUGUCAAGAGAGUGACGUGGCCCGGGUCGCAGUAAAGGCUAGGUCAACUGGACCCAUGCUCCUUCGGGAAUGCCGUCGACAUAGUGACGAAGCCGCGCUCCAAGGGGGGGAGGCGAUGCCUAGCAUUAAUAUUAGAAGAUAGCCGAACUGCAAGUAGGCUAUGCCCUUGUGUUGCAGCGAACAAUAAUUGGAAUGUGUGCUAAGUGCGGCUAUGAUUUAUAUGAAAGUGAUCGCGUUCCAAUUGUUUGAAUUAUUAUUACUACCUGUGAUUGAGUGAUUUGAAUUGUGCUAACCUGCAGAAAGGAUCUGAGGCGAGGUAAGUUCUCUGUGUGAUGUGGCUAGGCCACCCUUGAGCGUAUUUUCUUUCUAAUAGGGGUUUAGGGGGUUGAACUUGCUAAGACAUUGUCUCAUCCCGGUUUGGGGAUUAAAAUUUCAGGUCCCUAGAUGGCGGUCGUGGAGGACCCGAAGCCCUAAGUCUGGAAAGGUGGAGACUGAAGUAUCGGUGAACGUGUCCUGCUAAUUGGUUUUAGGAUAGUUCCCAUUUUAUCGAGCUGGUCUAUUUUGUAGAUGGUCCAGAGUUGUAUUUAAACCUAUGUGUUUGUAAAUGAGUGUUUGGUGUUGCGAUUGAUUGCCUUCUUUUCUAUCCCAAGGUAAAUGUUGUCAGGGGAUUUGUUUCGCUUCCGCAUGCGUAAUGAAAUGAAUGGGUCGGCGACAUAUCCUGGGAUGUCGCAUAUUUGAUCGACCGCAGUAGGAUGUGCGCGCGCUCGGGGUUCGGGGCGUGACAUCCCCGUUUAAGUGGUAUUAGAGCAUGGUUUGUGUAUGGAGUGAUAAGGUGCGAUGAGUCACGGGAUAGUUAAUAGGAAAGGCUUUUAAUAUACUGAUGCAUGUGGUUGAUAGUUGUUUGGUAAUAUGUUUGUGGGGUCACUCAAAUUCUAACAUGAUGUUGGAAUCGGAAAACAGGCGUCUAUAAAGAGCUUGUAGCAUGAGUGACCAGGAGUGGAGAACUCCUUGGAGGAGGUCGAUAGGACUUGUACCUCGGGGUAGGAUGCUGACAAGAGUUGGUACCCGAGGUAGAGCGCAAGCUCAGUCUAGCGUGUGUGUGAGAGUACCGCCGUAGGCAGGUACUAAGAGUGUAGUAGCAUCGAGCGAUCUUAGGUUCGUUGGGAUCGUUCAGGCGCUAGUGUUCCUUGGAAGCUUGUUGGGUCAGUAAGCUCAGGACCAAGCUGCCGCUGUUGCCGUUAUUUCUACCACUGCCAGUGUUGUGACCGUUGUUGUUGCCACGCCUGUUGAGGCCCAAUCUGGAGUGGUGAUCGAGGAUCAAGCCAUCAUAUCUGAGUCAAAGUUCAGCUUAAGCAGAGAUGGAAAUCGAUUGGGGAGAAAGGCCGAUGUUAGAAGAAAGGUGCCCUGUUUCACCCAACCGGUAGAGUAGAGUUGGAAAGUCAGUGUUCAACUCGAUCGAUGUGUGUUGUGUCUGUAAGAAAAGAAAGAGAUAUGUUCCGUGUUGUAAGAGAGAAAGGAUUUGUUACAAGGGUCGCCAAUAUAGUCAUUUGAUCAAAGAUUGUCCGUAUAGACAGAUGGAAUCACAACUGUUUCUAUCACCGCCGUUGUUAAGUCAAAACAGAGGAAGCAUGCUUCAAGAUGUUCAGUGGGGUACUUGGAAUGAACCUCAGUGCAAGGAAGGGUGCAUGAUGUUCCUUGAUGGGAGAUAGCGAAUUCACUGGUCGUGUGCCGAGAUUGUGGAAAGGAGGCUUGAGUCAGCCUAGUGUUAAAGUAAAAAUGGGGACGUGCUUUGAAUGUGGCCAGCAUGGCCGUCAGGUUAGGAACUGUCCGUGUAAGUUCAGGAGAGUGUAAGCACCAUUACUGCAGAUAGAAUGCCGCUAGGAUGGCGAAAGGAAUAGGAAUGGAUUGACUAUGCAUUAAUUAAGGGAAGAAUGUUUUGAGGUGUUUUAUCAGAGUCACACAACAGGAUUUUGAGUGAAGGUUAUGGAGUUUCCGUUGUUGUAAUAAAGUAAUAGGAAGAUGAGUCUCUGACUAUAGUUAUACCUGAUGGGUUUGCUUAUGUAUGACUUGGAAGUCAUUUAUGAAAAGGUCUGGCUCGAGGAGCUUUCCGCUAUUAUGAAUCGUAGCAGUGAUAUAAUUCGGUUUGUUCAGUCAGCGUAUGAAAGUUUUGAAUUACUGAAAGUUGAAGAGGAACUUCAAUCCUUGUUAUUCGUCGCUGAAGAUGACUUGGUUCUAUUUGUUGGUUACCGAAUCUGCAUGGCAGCUGUAAUGGGUACGUCAGUUGAGAAGCUGAAUAUGGAGAACAUAAUCGUGGUACAUAAGUUUUCUAAGGUAUUCUCUGAAGAAUUGUCAGGUUUGUUGUCAGAAUGAGAAAUAGAGUUCGUGAUGAAAUUAGCACCCGGAACAGAGCCAGUCCCUAAGGCUCCUUACCAGAUGGUGUUACCCGAGUUAAAAGAACUGAAGGUGUAGAUGCAGGAAGUGUUGGAUAGGGGAUUCAUACGUUCCAGUGCAUCAUCUUGGGGAGCAUCUUUUCUAUUCGUGAAGGAGAAAUGUGGUUCGUUGUAGUUGUACAUCGAUAUUCUUCAAGAUCGACUUGAGGUCAGGGUAUCAUCAGUUGAGGAUCAGGAAGAAAGACAUAUCGAAGUUAAGACCUCGCACUCGAUACAGUAGUUAUGAGUUCAUUGUAAUGCUGUGUGGUUUAAUGGACACCCCAGCUGUUUGUUUGGGUUUGAUGAGCAGAAUGUUUAAGGACACUUGAAUCAGUUGUGAUCGUGUUCAUUGAAGUUAUCCUAGUGUGUUCGAAGAGUGCCGAGGGGCACAAGAGACGUUUGAGGAUGGUACUUCAGACCUUAAGUACUCUUGGAUUUUACAAUAAGCUUAGCAGAUGCGAGUUUUGGAUGACUCGUGUUGCGUUCCCAGGUCUUGUGAUUUCAGGAGAAGGAAUCUCCGUAGGCCCCGUCCAAGAUUGAAGCAGCGACCAGUUGACCGAUAUUGACUACAGUGACAGAGAUUGGAAGUUUCUGGGAAUUAGCAGGAUAUUACAGAAGUUUUAUGGAAGGGUUUUCAGCGUCAGCAUUGCAGUUGAUUCGACUACUGAGGAAGUAAGAAAAGUUUGUGUGGUCAGAUGAGUGCGAGCGUAGUUUUCAAGAGCUUAAGCAGAAGCUGACUACCGCACUUGUGCUGACCAUUCCAUCUGAUUUUAAAAGUUAUGAGAUCUGCAAUGAUGCAUCAUUUAAAGGAUUUGGUUGCUUGUUGGUGCAACAAGAUAGGGUUUUGCAUAUGCGUUCCGUCAGUUAAGACCUCGGGAGUUGAAUAUGAGACAGCGUCGUUGGAUGAAACUCAUUAAGGAUUAUGACUAUGAUAUUUUGUAUCACUCUAGAAAAGUGAGCAAAGUCGCAGAUGCACUGAGUCGAGAGUCUUUAGUUGCACAGUUGGUACUCAAGGAUUGGAUCUUAUUUGAGAAAGUUUGAAAUUCGGUUUUCAAAUCUAAGGUAGGCCACCUUUUGAAUCUUAUGACUACCCUCAGAAUUGAGCCAAGAGUACAGAUCAGAAUCAAAUCGCUUCAGUGGACAGAUUUAGAAAUUCAGAAGACUUUAUAAGAGAAUGCAGAUGAGGGAGAGGUUGAGUUUCAGAUCUCUGAAAACAUAAUGCUAAGGUUCUGAGGACGAUUGUGUGUAAUUGACGAUGCAGAGAUUAAAGAAGAGAUCUUAUGGGAAGUUCAUUAUAGCAAUUUCAAAGUCAUCUAGACAGUGCGAAGAUGAGUCAGAAUCUACAUCAUCGGGAUUGGUAGAUCGGUAUGAAGAUAGAUAUCGCCGAACACGUUGUAAGUGUUGAAUGUAUCAGUAAGUGAGAAUUUGGUAAUGUAAACCAGGAAAGCUUUUUCAAGCAUUUGAGAGAGUCAUGUGUAGGAAUGGAAGUAUAGCAUGAUGGAAUGUUAUGACAGCUUAUUAAGGAGUCGGGAAGAGUAUUGAUUCCUUAUGGGGUUGUGGUCGACAGAUGAACAGAGUCAACUCACCUUAGUGCAACACGAAAAGAUCUCGAUUAGAAUAGAUAUAUCGAAGUGUGUGGAUAUCAUAUAAAUCAUCUGCAUGGAGUGCCGGAGAUGCAUUGUAUUUCAAAUCUAGAUCAGAUUCCAAGCUGGCAGAGCUUUUAGAUGGUUCCUUCUUAAGUAGCACAUAACAGAGAGUGCAGAAUUUCAAUUGCUGAGAUGAAGUCAGGGAAAGAAAGAUCACAGGCCAGGGUUAGUACAACAAUCAGUGAUUGCAGUUGCCGAGAUCAGUGUCAAAGUUAUAUCAAAUCUUGACCAGAGGUUCCCAGUUUCAGCAGAUCAGUCAGAUAGUUUCUUUUUUUUUUUAUCAGUGCAGAGCAGAGUGUUCAGGACUUCAAUCGGUUGAGAUAAGAUCAGAGAUCAGAAAAUCGCAGGUCCAGAGUUUGUCCAGAAAUCAGUGAUUCAAUCGCGAUUAUUAGAGACAGUUUAGAGACUGCUCAGAAUCGCCAGUUUAGUUUCACAGAUUUUGUAUUGAAGACCUUUUGAAUUUUAAGUGGGCAAGUGUUUAGUAUUGUGCAUCCGAAGUGGUUUGGGCAAGAUAGCAGUGAUCUGGCAUCACUGAUAUAGAAAGAGCAACCUGAGAAAGAGAAUUCUAGAUGAGACGAGUGUACCCCCACUUUUUUGUUUAAGAAUUGGUAAAUGUUUAAAUUUCGAUGAAGAAAUUUUUAUAAGAGAGUAAGAGUUGUGACAUCCCGAUUUUCCAAUUCUAUUUUCAAUAAAUUGAGACGGGCAUUUCGUUGGCACGCAUAUAGUUUUUUUUCUUGAGUCGGCCACUCAUGUGAAAACUAGUCUAUCGGGUGAAGCCGUUAAGAAAUUCUAAUGCAUCAGACUCGAGAAUUUAACCAAGAAGCGAUCUUUCGACCGAGCUAAUUUGCAAGGGUCAUUACGACACAAUUAAAAAUCGAUUAGAGAUCGGAAAUAGGUCGACUCGACAGAGGCAUGUAAUCGGGUGUGGGUGAUUCCACCAGAUUGCACAAUUCUUGUCGAUCGGCACUGGACCGACUUUGCUGUCGAUUGGGUACCCUGUGUUCGUAUUUGAAACCUUGAGAUUACCCCGACAACCGAAAGUCGCCAAUGUUUCAAAGAUGUACGUUGUGGCUUGAGAUGAUCAACCACAGGUCAAAUGCAUGAAAAUUUCUAAAGGCUACCCGGUAGGUUGGACCGCGCUGGUAUCGUGCCAAAGUGAAAUUAAUCGUAGAAUUGAGAUUGAAUUCAAAAAUUGGAAGUCUGGGUGUGUCACAAAUCAUUUCAGGAUCAUUGAAUCAUCUUUGGAAGAUUUUUCAUGCAAUCAGAGUUUUUCAGCAAUUAAAUCAGAGAAUGGCUAAUUUGGCUCGAGAAAUUAGUAGGCUUGUCUUUGGUCGCGCUUUUGGGACUUAAGUCAGUUCUAUGGACAAGUGAAGAUGUGAAUUAGAGUGUGGUGGCAUUAGAUUAAUUUUAUGGACUUCAAUUUGAUUCAAUUGGGAGAGAAUUGAUUGGAAUUGAAGGAAUUGAUGUACAAAGUUUUAUGCCCCGGCGGAAAAUGGAAUUGCAACCAUUGGAAUAAGGUUGUGGGAAAUAGUGGAGUGUGAUGUCAUCCUAGGUGAUGGUGGGCCAUUUUUGUUGGAUAAAAGAAAGAGAAAAAGAAAAUAAAAAGGGCCCCCCUCUUUCUCUCUCCUCCCUCUCUUCUUCCUCUCUCUCGUGCGACCACUCUCCAUCUCCAUUUUCUUCUCCAGCUUCGAACCCAGCAACCGGAAGCCAGCAGCCGUCGCAACUGCAGCCGGAGCCGUCGCCGCCUUUGCCCGUCCGCUCGUCGUCGCAGCCACGCCUCGCCGCUCGAACCUCGGCCUCCCUCUCUCCUCUCUUCUCCAUCUCCGGUUUUUGCUCCAAGACCCAGCAGAUCUGAGCACGACGAGGAUGGCUGUAGCUCAGUCGGACCGCCGUUCGUCGCUCGCCCGACCAGCUCGCCCGUCGCCGGAGCUCGUUGCUGUCGCCAUUCGUCCGCACGCACGUUGUCUUGUGUGCGAGCUGCUCCGCCCUCCCAUCUCUGCUUCGUCCACGCGCCAGCAGCCAUCGUCCAUCGUCCCGAGCUGCCGGAGCUCGUCCCCGCCGCAGUGAGCUGCCAUUGACCUCCCCACCGGUCCGUCCAAGCCCUCGCCAGUUUCCUCCGCCCAUUUCGACAUCGGAUCCGCCCUUCUCGACCCCAAAUCAGCAGCUGGAAAAUGGGUAUGACAGCUCAUGUUUGGCCCGUUUUGGCCGUCUUCCUGAGCCCGGAUGCUCGGCCCGCCUUGAGGAAAGUCGAUCCUCGCAUCGUCCCUGUCGUUUUGGUCCGCUCGGUUCGUUAAUCCUGUGAGUUUAGCUCACUAAACCUUGAUUAGAGGGUUAAUGAUGCUUUAGGGGUGCUUAGUUUAUGUUAAGUGUUAUUAGGUGGUUAGUUUAAUUUAUUUAUGUAGAUUAUAUUAAGGUGUUUGAUUAACUUAAAUUGUGUUUAAUUUAAGGUUAAGUGAGUGGUUAUAUUAAUAUAAGCGUUGAUGUGACAUAAAGGAAUUUACUUUUGAGUUAUUUAAAUAUCCCGAAAUUAUUAAAUAAUUUAAUAAUAUAUUAUUAUUCGAAAUUAUUAAAAUAUUAUUAUUUAAUUAUUUUCGGAAUAAAUUUAAUUAUUUAUUAAAUUCCGAAAAUUUUGUCAGGACCUUAAAUUCUCAGAAUUUCAUGCCGGUCGCUGCUGUGUAGUCAGAUUUUGAAAUUGAUGAUUGGAUAUUAUAAAUUGAGUGUUGAUUGUGAUAAAUAGAGAUUUUAUUCAUAAAAACCCAAGUGUCGGGUUUGGCAUUAAAAUUGGAUUUUUAAUGGUUAAUAUCGUAAUUGGAUUAUGUGAGUGAAAUGUAAAGUAUCCAGGGAUCGAUAUCGAAUUGUCGUGUGCUGGUUGAAAGGCUCGGAUCGCAGUAGUGGCCAGGCCAACUGGACCCUUAUUUUGCUAUAAAUGCCGUCAAGAGAGUGACGUGGCUCGGGUCGCAGUAGUGGCUAGGCCAACUGGACCUUUAUUCAUUUAGAAAUGCUGUCAAGAGAGUGACGUGGCCCGGGUCGCAGUAGAGGCUAGGCUAACUGGACACAUGCUCCUUGGGGAAUGCCGUCGACGUAAUGAUGAAGCCGCGCUCCAAGAGGGGGAGGCGAUGCCUAGCAUUAAUGUUAGAAGAUAGCCGAAUUGCAAGUAGGCUAUGCCCUUGUGUUGCAGCAAAUAAUAAUUGGAAUGCGUGCUAAGUGCGGCUGUGAUUUAUAUGAAAGUGAUGGCGUUUCAAUUGUUUGAAUUAUUAUUACUACCUGUGAUUGAGUGAUUUGAAUUGUGCUAACCUGCAGAAAGGAUCUGAGGCGAGGUAAGUUUUCUGUGUGAUGUGGCUAGGCCACCCUUGGGCAUAUUUUCUUUCUAAUAGGGGUUUAGGGGGUUGAACUUGCUGAGACAUUGUCUCAUCCCGGUUUGGGGAUUAAAAUUUUAGGUCCCUAGAUGGCGGUCGUGGAGGACCCGAAGCCCUAAGUCUGGAAAGGUGGAGACUGAAGUAUCGGUGAACGUGUCCUGCUAGUUGGUUUUAGGAUAGUUCCCCUUUUAUCGAGCUAGUCUAUUUUGUAGAUGGUCCAGAGUUGUAUUUAAACCUAUGUGUUUGUAAAUGAGUGUUUGGUGUUGCGAUUGAUUGCCUUCUUUUCUAUCCCAAGUUAAAUGUUGUCGGGGGAUUUGUUUCGCUUCCGCAUGCAUAAUGAAAUGAAUGGGUCGGCGACAUAUCCUGGGAUGUCGCAUAUUUGAUCGACCGCAGUGGGAUGUGUGCGCGCUUGGGGUUCGGGGCGUGACAUUUACUUUCAAUCACAACCUAGCUCGAAUCAUCAGGGGCCGCCGGAAUCGAACUGGUAUCAACCAUAAGAACGCGUGGCAACAAGGCACAAUCUGCAAUCGGCGACAAGGAGGGAAGGGAAAGAGGGGAAGGGAGGAGCAAUCAGCUCGCGAAGGAACAUGGGCGGAAUCUGCCCGAUUCUCUCUUCUCGAUCUCCCUCCACAUUCUUCGAGCAUCUUCGUCCUCUCUCUCUCCCCCCACUUCGCCCCUCCGUCCUCAAAAGCCACGGACGAACUUGGGAAGAAGGAGAUUCAGGGCGUCUGCGAAAUGUUCUGGUUCGAGCCCAGGAACAAGAAGGAAAAGACGACGACGACGGUGAAGAAGAAGCUGAUCCGAGAAUUCCAAAAUUUGUGUUUUUUCCUUUUUAUGUGCCGAGAUUUACCGGCCCAAUUUGGGGAACUGUUGGGAGAUUUGAACUGGGCUCCUGAACUAGGUUAUGAUCGAAAGUGUUUUUCUGAUACCUGAACAAGCAAGGGACGUUUUUAUCUUUUCUAUCCUUCGACUCCUCCCCCCCCCCCUCUCUCUUUCUCUCUCCUCCUCCUCGUCCUCCUUCUUCUACGUGGGUUUUCCGGGAAAAUAAGGAAAACAGCCAGAAAGCACAGGGAAAGAGAGACAGAGAGAGACCUGGAUCAGUCGGACGAAGCCUCGCGGUGCCUUUUGCGGGUCGUGUGUUUUCUACUCUGGGCGAAAGGACGUUACCAGUAGAUCACUAUAGGCGCUCCGUUUCAGGUGCUAUUGUGUAUAUUAAUGGCGGAAUCUUGGCGGAGUUAUAGCCGUGCGCAGACAGCGGAGUGGAUACGAAUGGAGGAGACGAGGUUGAAGACACCUCAAACCCGAACGGCCCCACCCACGUAUAAAUAGGAUCUUCCUCGUCGCAGCCAGAAAUACCGAUUUUGCCGCCUUCUUUUUCUUUUAUUUCUUUUGGGCAAUGAUCCUUUUUUUUUCCCCGAAUUUUGUUAUUUGAAUUUCUUGAAGGAGCCCCGCGAUUUACUCCACUGCCUAGCGUGCUUAUGCACGAGCGCAAGCAAUUGCAAACGUAGGAUUUGGAUUUGGACAGACACGUUAGGCAAUUUAGCCGAGUAAGGAGCGAAGUAUAUUUUUUUCAACCUUGAAGUGUGUUUAUCAUUUAUUCAAACCGAAAUUUUCACACACACAUAUAUACAUAUAUAUCUCAAGAUAGAAAUCACAGUUAUCAAGCAAAUAAAGAGAUAGAGAGAGGAAAUUAUAAUCUUCCAGUCCAGAAUCGAUAAGGCUAUUUGUGUAAAAUUCCUUUUAUGUGAGUGCGUAGGAGCUAUUUGUGCAUGACGCACCAAUCGUAGGUGAGCGAUUGCUUCCUUGGGAGUACCCAAUCAUAAUAAUAAUACUUGCAUGUCAAAGAAAGUCAACUAAAAAAUUUAUGACGUCAUAGAAGUUUGUCAAAGGAGUAACUUGAGACAUUUGACACUCAGCAAAAAGAUAAAAAUAAAAGAUUUUCUUUUAUUAUUUUUUUUUUGGUGACCUAGGAAACCCCGAAAGCCGAUAGCCGGCAGGAAGAACCUGGGGGCAACAUGGGGAAACCACCACCCCAUGCCACCGGAUAAGUCACCAAGUAACUCCACUAGCCCCCUUGCGUUGCAAGGGCUUUGAACCUCUCCCCUCCCACGCAGAAGAUCACUAAAGCCUACCUAGCGGAGCCACCACGGCCAGUGGUAAGAUUUUCUUUUAUUGUUUCUAUGCAACGAGUCCUCAAAAGGAAUUUCUAAAAAAUGCGGAGCUAUAUUGGGUCAAAGGGACUUCCCUCAGAAAUUGUGAAACUACGGGAGAAAAGGUUAUGUAUUCAAUAAAUUACUCAUAUUUACACGUCACUCUAAUCUUAUGUGGUGAGCCCUUGACCAAUUUCCAAGCUAUUAGAAUUUUAGAAUAAUUUCUUCACUUCUCAACAGUUGUUUCAUGAUAAAUUGAUUUGCUUAUCACAAAUUAUGAAAUCUAAAAUUAUAUAUGAACAUGCAUUUAUUGAGACAUCUUAAAAAUUUCAAUGCGUUCCCACCAUCAUUUAUUAUUUAUUAUAUAUAAUAAUGGAGAUGUCAUUUGAAAUUUCAGAUCUUGAUGUAUGCACUGUGAUAACUAAUCAUAUUUCUUCUAUGAAAGUUUUAGCUGGCUCAAAAGUCUUGGCCUAUGCCUCUCUUGAUUAAGAGGACCUUUUGUUAAAUGGUGUUUGAGUACUUAACGUGGACUCCCAUUCAUAGAAUAGUCCUUUAUCAAACAUUUAAUAUGAGCAAAUCAUCAUAAGAUUCUUACGCACUGUCAAGAAUUUAAAAUGUGGAAUCUAACUUUUAUAAUUCUUAAGUAUGUUAAUUGCGAUAAAAUAAGAGUCCUACGGUACUUUCCUUGUUGUAGAGCCAACUUUAUGUUACAAUAGAAAUACAUUAACCCUUAUCAUGCUGUGCAUCCACAUUAUGCGACCCAUUGAUAUGGUGUCACCAAUUGAUAAAGUGCUAUGGUUUAGAAAAUUACAAAAUAAUUCGGGCUAAGUACUUUAGGUUGGUCUUAACUUAGGAGUUACUCGAGUAGAAACCCCAUUUCAGUUAUGUGAAAGUGGUGUACACUUUAGUUUUUUGGUCGAAAGGAUGAGUAAUAUUAACAUAACGGAGAGUAAUUACAAACAGCACAACCAGCCGCUAAAGCAUCAGAACAAAGUAAGGUAACCAAAAAGGAGGGCGGCGAGGUAGCCCAAUCUUGAGAGAGGAGCCCAUUUCGAUGAGCCUUUGCGGCCCAAUCCACAACAGAGUUCGCUUGCCGUUUGCAAUGCGUUACCCUAGUAGAAAAGAAAUCGAGAGAGGAGGCUGACGGCCUCUGCAGCGAUUGCACGAGCUUCCCAUGGCAAUGGCGUAGAGGCAUUGAUCGAUUCUACUAAAAAAAGACUGUCUGACUCAAUGAUCAACUGAUCUCGUUGUCUUCCAGUGUCUAGCAGAUGGUAAAGAGUGAUGGUAAGAGCCAUGAACUCUACUUGUAGAGCUGUCGAGGCGUUGAAAUCUCUGGUGAGUCCAUCAACCAACCUCCCAUUUUGACCCCUACAAAUACACGCCAUAGUCCCUGUUUUGCUGUGAGGUCGAAAAGCUCCAUCUAUAUUUGUUGGAAAAAGUAUUAGAGUACAUAAAAUAAUAAUAAUUAUUGGAAAUACAUUACAAAAGAUUAGAAAAUAAAAAGAAAUGUCUGAGGCGUGCAAACACUGUCCUUAAGGAUAAUUCCGCCCCUCGGAGUACGUAACUCGGUGCGUAAGGCUUCAGCAGCUAUCCUCCCAAGAUACAACAGACCUUCUUUUAUACUCCGCACUGAAUAUUAGAAGGAAACAGAACAACUUUUGUGUAUAACCCAGCAAAAAGAAAAUGAAAGCUGUGAGAACAUAUUGUAUCUACUACGAUUGUGGUUUGAAGUUUAAUUUAUAUUUAAAAAAGGAAAAGAGAGAGCCGUUAAGAGAUUAUCAUAAAUCAAUUGGUAAUUAAAAAGAUGACUGUUAUAAAAUAAUGAAGAGUUUAUAAAGUAAUAAAUCAAAAGUUAUAAAGCCGUUAGAUGACCAUUAUAUAACCAUUAGAAAGCCAUUAUAUGACCGUUGAAAAAGCCAUUACAAAAAUGAUAACUUUCAUGACGAUAAUAAUUUCUAAUUAAUAUUUCAAAACUACUGAAAUAUCCAACAAUCCCCCGUAUAUUUCAAAAAGUUCUGACAAGAAAAUAAAAUAAUGCUAGGUUAUUGAAGAGUAAUGCAUCGGAAUAGGUGCUUAUUAGGCUAUGAACCAACCCUAGAAAGAAUGAAAUAUAAUUCAUGAAAUCAUUGGUGAAGUUUGAAACUUCUAUGAACCAAGAAUUUCUUUUUGUGAAUUAUACUUUUCACCAAUCACAUUACACUCCCACAAACUUUGUUGUUCAACGCGGUUUUGCGCUAAUAGGCCAUGCGCGUGCUUGGUUUAUUCAUAAGUGCUUUAGAGAUUUUCGCCAAAAAUUCUCAUAGGAGCGGCCCCACCCCACACUUAUAUAGGUGAUUCCAUCAAGUGUAUUCUGCAGUUUAAUACACCAUCAAUAAUGGCUAUAGAAUUUCAUUAAGAGCUUAGUUCAACCUCUUUUUCCUUGCAAUUUUGCACUAUUUUCACCUUAGGAUGGACAAUAAUUUUUAAUAGUGCACUAGAUCAACAAAGGACUUGUUAUUACCCAUAUGAAUCUAAUUCAUGAGAUCGCCAAUCACAUAGGUUGGGUUACUAUUAUUGUUGAUUUUCUUCAAUUGACUUGUCCAUUCCCCUCAAUGUAUAGUCAAAGGAUUGGCCAAAAUCCAUUUUUGAUUUCAUAUAAUUAAUGGACAUAAUUCCAUCAUUAAGCAACUGCUUUACCACGUCAUCCCUCAAUCGGAUUUGUCAAUUUUUAUCAUAUCUAUGCAUGGCUAUUGCCUCUUGGCAAUCAUGAUAUAUAAACACAAAAUGUGUCAUUUUCCCAAAGGAAUAUCUGCUGAGAGUUUCUCAAUUACUCGGCCUCAUUUUCAUAUAUGAGUUUGAGAAAAAAAAAAUUCCUUUUCCUCAAGAACUUGAAUAGUUCACAAUUUACCAAAAAAAUAGUAAAUAUUUUCUUCUCCUUCACCCAUUGGAACCUAGGAGGAUAAGGCAUUUUGUUUACACAUAUAUGCCUGGUAGCACUUGAGUCUACCACCCAUAAUUUCUCGAUUAGCCACAAUAUUGGCAUGGGAAUGACCACAUCAAUUACUUCAUCAAAUCAUCUACUUCAACCAAGUUGACUCUUGGUUUAGCAGGAUUGCCAUUUCCCCCACGAUUUCAUUUGAUUGAUUUCCACCGGGUGAACACAUAUUUGUUAGUGGAUUUUAUCUAAUAUGAAUUCAAGAUCCAGUUAACAUCACCGUAUCCUUAUAAUACAGUGGAAAAUCCACUAUAAUAAACUUGACAAUAAUCACCUUUUAACAAAAUAUUUCACAAAAGACAUCAAUCUUAUUCAAUAUAGAUCUAUGUUGGCUAUGGAUGCAAAGAAAUAAAAAUAAAUUUCAUCUCCACAACAUUCACUAAAGGAGAUUCUCUUUCCCAAUACAAUAGCCAUCAAGUCUCUAAUUAUCAUCAUGCAUGAAUGGACAUUCAACAUAAAUUGACAAAGUAAAUAUUCUUACAAAGAACAUUUUUUUUUUUACAUCAUUACUGCUGUAAAUAAUACAUGUUAUUCCAAAAAUGUUAACCAAAACUUAGAGGUUAGCAUAAAUCCAAAAUGAAUUAAUAAUUUCACAAAAUAACUAUAAGACUUCCUUUGAGUGUUAUAUACGAAUCACCAAAAAUGUCUCAACAAUGCAUACUCAGUACAAAACAUGUAAUCAAUUUAAUUAUGCAAUAAAAUACUAUUUAAUAAUUCUAUCAAAAGUUAUGCGUGAAAAAUUCGAUCGUUGCAAAAGAGACAUUACAAUCUUUAACCCAUAAAUUUGUGGCUAUUAUUCUAAUAAAUUCAAGAAUAGAAUCACAGCAAUUUUGACAAGAAAAAUAUUUGAACUAAAACUUUAGUAGUCAUAAAUAUAAUGCCAACAAUGUUUUACACUUGUAAAACUCAAAGUAGACUAUAACUCUUUAAGCAACAUUUAAAUGUCUGAAAUGUGAAAUAUAAAAAAUAUCACAAAAGGCAGGAUGCAAAAGGCAUACUCACUAAAUUGUCGAUUACGCUAAUUUAGCCAGAAAAGUAAUUAAUGGCAAAUAUUGGGGUGUAUCAUUAGUCAAUUGAAUAGUAGUCGCCCAAUUAUUCUUUCAGCUUGUGCUUGCUAAAUUGGGUCUCCAUUCUAUUCUCUUUCUAUCAAGCAUAAUUCCAUGUCGUCGAGAAGGAAAGAAUCUGCCACCAUUCUAAUGCUAGAGAAGUUCUAUAUGUGCGUGGACGAGAGAGAAGUACCAUAUCUUCAUGUAUUUAUCAAACAUACACAUUGUCAUGCAGCAAAUACCAACACAUGUAUGAGCAUAUACAUAAAUAGAGGCCCACGCUGCACUUCCAAGCAAGCAUGAAUAAAGACAUGCCACCAAAUGCCAACACAAGCUCGUGUCUACACUUACUUGAGCAUAUUGGCAUGGACAUCACCAACCGAAUAAUGAUUGUAUGCACUCUAGCAUAUUCCCAAGAAUGACAAGACAAAACUGUGAGGAAUACUGAAGAAUUUUGUUCCAUAGUCAAAUGGCACCUAUUUUCAAAAUCUAUAAGCACAAUAAUAUAAGGUAAAAAGACCGUAAUUUUAGUGGUAAAACACAAAAAUCCCACAUGACAGCAUCCAUUGUUUCGCUAAAAAUAAUUAUAUAUAACCUGGUCCAACAUGGGCGAGCUCGAUAAGUUUCUGUAGAGAUGGAGCCAAAGACAAAUUAAAUAGCAGGCAAAAACAGUUAUAAACUGGCUUCAUGAAUGUACAUUAAACAAAUUUUAGCAGGAGAAUAGGAAGAAUUAAGAACAAAUGGAAACUAUUUUGAGUAACAGAGAAGCGCCCCAAUUUCUAAUCCUAAAUGGAUGAUUAUUAAAAUAAUCAUGAACUUGAGAGAGAAAGCACCUACACACGUCCGACUUUCUAUUGGAAAAACAAGUAUAGGUAUUAAAGCCCCAAAAUAAAAAUAAAUAUAUAAAAGAAAUAUUAGCCCAAUUUCUUUCCAUUUCUUUUAUGGUUUUCCUUUUCUAUUUCUUUUUAAGUACCACACGGAAUCACUAUGUCAUUUUUAAAGAUUUUCUACAUAGGUAAUUUUGAAAAUUUGUAAGCAUCUUCCGUAAAAGUAUAAGACCACACAUUCAUGGAAUAUGUCUAACAAGAUCAAAUCAAAUCUAAAGAGAACACACAAGCUCGUAAUGCCAAAUUUCACAUAUUAGAAUGAAAGGAUCAUGACCUGUGUGAUGAUGACUCCUCAAAAUGUGGAAAUAGCGUGCCAAAAUGGCAAUUACACCUUUCAAGUAUUAAUUUAGAAUUUCCAAAAAACGACUUACUUGAAACUCAAUAACCUUACCAAAACGACCAAAAGCUAUAUUGUGUUAAUGCUUGAUACCGUCCCAUGACAAACCACCCAAGAAUAUGUGAUACUCGUCCUUCACCAUCUCCAAAUCCUUGUUUAAUUCCAACGUCAGUGGAAGCACCAGCAGUUCCAAUUUUGAAAGCUAUAAGGGAAUUAUCCUUAAGAUUGUUGGAAAAAGUAUUAGAAUACAUAAAAUAAUAAUAAUUAUUAGAAAUACAUUACAAAAGAUUAGAAAAUAAAAAGAAAUGUUUGAGGCAUGCAAACACUGUCCUUAAGGAUAAUUCUGCCCCUCGGAGUACAUAACUCGGUGCGUAAGGCUUCAGCGUCUAUCCUUCCAAGAUACAACAUACCUUCUUCUAUACUCCGCACUGAAUAUUAGAAGGAAACAGAACAACUUUUGUGUAUAACCUAGCAAAAAGAAAAGGAAAGCUGUGAGAACAUAUUGUAUCUACUAUGAUUGUGGUUUGAAGUUUAAUUUAUAUUUAAACAAGGAAAAGAGAGAGCCGUUAAGAGAUCAUCAUAAAUCAAUUGGUAAUUAAAAAGAUGACUGUUAUAAAAUAAUGAAGAGUUUAUGAAGUAAUAAAUCAAAAGUCAUAAAGCCGUUGGAUGACCAUUAUAUAACCAUUAGAAAGCCGUUAUAUGACCAUUGAAAAAGCCAUUACAAAAAUGGUAACUUUCAUGACGAUCAUAAUUUGGGAUAAUACCCUAAAAAACCCCAAACUGGUACACCUGUGACAAAUUUACCCCAAACUAUUUUUUUGACCACCAAAAACCCCAAACUGGUAUACUUUUGACAAAUUUACCCCAAACUGGUACACUUGUGACAAAUUUACCCUAUGUUAGUUUUCGUUAAAUUUUAUUCUCAAAUUAUUAAGUUAAAUAACACGUGACAGUUAACCAAUAUACCAAUUUAGGAUUUUACGUUCCGUUUGUCACAGUUUACAAUUUUUAUGAUUUUUUUGUGGUAUUAAUCCAAUUUAGUAUAGGGUAUAUUUGUCACAAAUUUACCAAUUUAGGGUUUUUUGCAGUCGAAUAAAUUAGUUUGGGGUAAAUUUGUCAUAAAUGUACCAGUUUAGGGUUUUUUAUAGUUAGUCGGGAUAAAUUUGUCACAAGUUUACCAGUUUGGGGUUUUACAUGGUCAAAAAAAUAGUUUGGGGUAAAUUUGUCACAAGUGUACCAGUUUGGGGUUUUUCAAGGUAUUAACCCUCAUAAUUUCUAAUAAAUAUUUCAAAACUACUGAAAUAUCCAACAAUAUUCACCUUAAUGCAACCUGGAUCUGGAGGUCUCCACAGUUCGCCAAGGUUGAUUUGCAGUUGUCCUAUUGCUGCUCUUGUUCCUGUUCCCGAUGAUUUGCAAUGGGAUAAACAAGUAGCUCUGGUGGUGGCGAGGGCCACUUUGACAACUUGCAUCACAUCCAACGCUGGCGAUGAAAUAUAAAACCAUUACGCGCUUUCCAGAUUUGCCAAAGGACAAAGGCCACCAUUUCUAGAUCGGGUGAGGAGUAAUUUAUGUUGAAACUAUCUGCAAUCCAUUCGUCAAGUCUCUGUAUUCCCUACAGAUCUAUUUGAAAGUUGAUUUUCGAGUGCGACCAUAUAGAUUUCGUCCAUGGACAAAGUAGGAAAAUAUGCUCUACUGUUUCCAGUAUUUGGUUUUGGCAGAGAGUACAUACAUCGAUGAUAUAGAUUGGCUUUAGUGGGAAGGGCAUUGUGACAUAGCGACCAUAGAAAUACCCAAACUUUGGGCUCUAUCUUUAGCUUCCAUAGUUGUUUCCAUAGAAUCGCCGGGGUCUGGUAAGAGCAUAUUGUUGUAUGUUGAUUCUUCGUGACCUCGGCAUUUUUUAUUGCAUGGUAGCCGCUUUUAACGGUGUAAUCACCGUCAGUAGUUGCUGUCCAAAUGAGCUUAUCUCUGACAUAAACAAGUCUAACCUGAAUUACGAGAAUUUCUUGGACAAUAGAUUCAUCGUAUAAGUUAUGAAGCAGUGGAAUAUUCCAGUCAUGUGUCUGCAUGUUGAGCAAUUCGGCAACCUUAGCUGGUUCAUUGCAGUUUGCAGGUCCUCCCAAAAUGGAUUACAUAUUAAUACAUAGACUCUUAUUGAAUGCUUAGGUGUAAGGUUUUGAUAUGAUCCUCUUUUCUUUAUCUUUUUUUGGUAAAUAUUCAUGAUGAUUUGCCACAUCUGACAUCACUUCGUACAUUAAGGUCAUAAAGGUUUCUAAUUAUAAGGCUACAUUAUUAUUUUCAUUGUGAUACUAAAUUCAUAGUUAUGUAGUGACAACCACAAAACUUUUUAUAUUGUAUCACUGCUACAGAUCAUGUGGUUUGACUAAAUCCUGACCAUGCUUUUCUCUAUGAUGUAAUCUCCAAUUUGUGCAAUUCUUGCUCUGCCGAAAAGUUAUUAAUUUUAUUUAUUGAUAAGUCGCUUGUGUUCUCUCAAGCUUUACCUAAAAACAUUAAGAAAAUAGAAAUUAUAGAUUGGGAAUGGAGAAGGCUUCCCACAACCACUCUUUGCCAAAAAAAAAGACCCAACAAAUUUGUGGCAUUGAAUAAAUCCAUAUCAGAACAACUGGAAUUGAUGAUGUCAGACGCGACUAUUUUGCGCGAUAAGAAUGUAUCCUAAAAUAAAUAUAAAUUAUAAAAUGAAAACUUAAAUAUAAUAUGACAUGACAUGCCACACUUAACUUCAUAUUUGAACACAAACUCACAAAAAUAUAUAUAUAUAUAUAUAUAUAUAUAUAUAUGGUAUGUACAAACUCACAAAUAUUAACGUGGCUUCAUCGUAUUUUAGUUAUUUGGCAUAUAGAAUCAAAAUCUAUAUGUUUCUAGGUCUACAUAAAUUCGAAUUAUAAUAUUAAUCAUGACAUGUCAACACGAACUGUCACCCCUAAUACCAAGAGUAACUAACUUGCACGUCAUCCAUACAUCUCUCGGUACACAAGAAGAGCUGAACCCAACAACAGCAGUGCCACGGAAAGUAGAGCCGACUGUACAGCGGCUGACAAUGGAAUGCGUCCUUUAUCCGACCUUACCAUCCCUUCAAUCACAGGGUAGCUCAUCACCAGGAUGAAGAACGACAGAGCAAUCUGCGCAAGCAACUUGUCCCAACCUCCCAAGACGAGCACCCGAGCGAUUCCUCCGACAAAGGAAGCCAUGCUCAACAUCACUAGAGCCACUAUCGGGGCCAAGAACACGAUCGAUGUUCGGAAAUCAAAUACGCCCUUUUCGUACAUCUCCAUUUGCUCGUCAUCGGCGACUUUGCUAGUAGGCAAGAAGCUCUAUCUCCUCACCCCGGUUUUCGUCAGAACGGCAUUUAUGCUCCCGUAUAGAUAAGUGGUCACCGAGUGGAUCAUCCAUAUCCGUUGCUCGUUUAUAAACGUCCGGACCGAGUGACCACUCACGACGACCUCGUAGAGAUGCUUGGAAAGUGAAGAUAGGAAAACGAAGCAAUACACGAGGAACAAUGAGCUCGAAACCUGGCGUGCCAAAAGAAUCGAUGUUCAUGAGUCAUGAUUAUAUGUUACUCGCGUUCAAUAGCAUCAAAGACUUGAUUGGUUCACGGGAAUGAAAAGCCUACAUAUGAGAAUAGCUUACCUCCGGAUAAAUGGGGACGCCAUUGAAUAGACAUAUCUGGGGAAUGGUGGCUAAGCAGCAGAGAGGCAAGCAGUAGAGGGGGAAGAACGCAAGCUCGGUAUAACACAUGCUCUGAAGAAUGCUCAUUCUCCAUGGUCCAUAAAUCGGAGGAGAGAAUCUGGAGAACCCGACCUGAGCCCACCCGGAACUCCAUCUUGUGAUUUGAACCAGUAGGUCAUUCAAAUUUGUCGUGGAAGCCCCCAAAAAUUGAGGCCGCGAAGGGCAACAGUACACUGAUUUCCAUCCUUUGCAGUGCAAGGCGAAGCUGGUGAAGAAGUCUUCGGUCACAGAUCCAUACUUGAAACCGACCUGGAGCAAGAGCGACCACGAGCUAAAUAAAGAGGAAAUGGAGUCACUAAUAGCAGCAAAUUACAAGGGUUUUGGUUAUUUUGUUCUUUUGAUUGUACUUGCCUCUUGACCCCAUUUUGUUCCGUUUUCAUAGUGACAAGAAGCUAAAUGUUCGGUGUCUCUGCAGACUGCUCCCAGUUCGCUGAGAAUGUUCUUAUUAAGCUUGUCGCUCCAGUGAAGAUGUUUAAUAAACUCAUUGGAAUGGCCAAAGAUUGCUUUCAAAUCCAUGAGAUUAGCUGUAGUACCUUUCCAAUCAGCAAGAGAAGUAGUUGAUUACAUUGCAUGGAUUUGCUAUCCAAGAUCCUACCUUAACAUAUGGCUAUUUUGACUUACCUUCUUGCAUGGGUUUGCUGUACAAGGACUCUCUCUUAACAUAAAAGCCAGUACCAGAUAUUAAAGGUCCUUGCAACCCGUCCAUUCCACACCAUAAUAUCUGAAAGAAAGCCAAAGUUAUCGGUUAAAAAUGGAUUCAUCAAAAUAAUUUCACAUGUACGAUUUGCUCAAUAAGGCUGAGGAACUAGUAAGUGCAUAAUAAAAAAAUUUGAUUACUAUUAUAGUCUUUUUCUCUCACCCCAAAUGGCGAUCUGUGUUUACUGUCGUAGAUGUCGUUCUUGCUGAUAUUAUGGAACGAUUGAGGGAAUUGAACGAACGAAAGCGAUGGAGACAAUGUCGGGUCCAAGUGGAAGCAGAUUGCCCUCCUCGCCGAGGAUGGGUCGUUGCAGUACAUGUCACAGUCCAGCACUAAUACAUACGGCGAGUUGCUUAUCACCCCCGACACGCGAAGCUGUAAAGGAGGAGCAACAUCAAGUAGUGUGAUCGAUAUUACAAGUACAUAUUAUAUGUAUUUAUGCUGUUCUCUUCCAAGUGAAAAUGCGAAACUUGAGUAGCAUACCAGAACAUUGAGAGCUCCAGCUUUGAAGUUAUGAGGGUAAGAAGGCCUUUUUUCCCUGGAGACGUAAACAAGCAGAGGCAUUUGCUGUUGGUCAGCUUGCACAACUUCGUCUGAGGAAUUUCCAUGGAUCACCUGAAGAAUAAUUUCGAUUUUUUAUGUCUCUUGAUAAAAAGUCUUGACUAGAGCCUUUUCUUUUGCUCAUCAAGUGGAAGGGAAUGGAACCAAAGAACUAAAAUGGGUCAGAAUCCCACGUGUCAAAAUGGGUUCGAAUCGUAAAGCGAAUGUCCAAGAUUAAUGAUCAAAUCUGUAUUUAUGGAAAAGUUAACACUGCAAAAAUUUCAAACUAUAUCCACUAUGAUAUAAAUACUCUGACCUUUUUUUAUGUGUCAUUAAAAAUCUUAAAUUUGUCCAUAAUGACACAAAUACCCUAAACUUUCUUUUUAUGAUAUAAUACCAUGAAUGAAAUUGAAAUAGAUGGUAUAUAUGUCACAUAUCUAUAAGCUUAGGUUUCUUCAUAACACAAAAAAAAUUGGGGAUAUUUGUGUUAUAGUAGUCAAGUUUAGGAUUUUUGAUGAUACAAAAAAAUGAAUAAAUUUGGGUUGUGUGCCACAAGGGGCAUAGUUUGGCACUUUAUUGUGGUAUUUGUCCUUUAUGGAACGAAAAGGAACAAUUGCACAACAUAAGCUUGUACUUUCGAAGUAGUAUAUGUUAAUAUAAACUUAUAUUUUGUUACAACUAUUAAUCAUUUGGUUUUUUAAUUAGCAUGAGUAAUACACAUGGCUUUUGAGGUGUAUUACUCAUGCUAAUUAAAUAUCUCUCUUACCCUUAACAGCCGUGAAACUGACAAAUAUAUAAAAAUGGGUGAAAAUUAAAUUAACUGAAAUACUUAUAUAGAAAAAUAAAUAUUUUUUAAAUUCAAUGAAUGUAGCCAAAUUAUUAGAACUAAAUGAGGUAUUUUAAGAAAAAGAAUAAAAAUUAAAUAAAAGGCAGAUUGUCUUGAUUGGAAAAAGGUCAAAUGACAAAAAUUAUUUACUUAUUAUCUAUAUUUAAGGGUUGAGCUAAUGUAAAAAAUAUCGGCCAACAAAAAACUAUAAAAACAAUCAUAAAUAAUGAUUUCCUCAACUUGACAAAACAUUAGUAAAGUUAUUUUAUGAUGCAUUUGGUAAUUAUACAAGAUUUAUAUACUUGGAACAAGAAAAGAACAUAAAUGCGUUCGGUACAACCCUAAAAAAUUUUAUUACAAUUUUUUCAAUAAUUAUAAAAAUGUCAAUGGAGACUUAAACAAUUCAUGUCUGAAUAAAUUGGAAUUUUGUAAGGAUUUAACUAAUCAAAAUAUUCUAAGAUAGCCUCAGAAAAUCCAAUGUAAUAAUUAGUCAAAGAUAGAUGGUUGAAAAUAGUAGUAGAGAGUCAUACUGGUUUAUAACUCACAAUAUGAACAGAUUGAUAAUAAACCUUUGGGUAUUACAAUAAACAAAUAUAUAGACCUUUUGAACUUUUUUAGCUACAAGAAGAAGAGCAAACAUUGAUUGGAAAAAUGGGCAAGGACGAAACAACUAAGAAUGAAGGCAAUUCUAAAGUUGGUGUGCUUAUUUGCAUAAACUUAUCAAACCUUCAAGCAAAUGACAUUGGAAAUUCAUGGAGCACAAGCUUAUUAGACUACUAUGAAAAAAAGACAAAUGGUGAUGCAAACAAAUUUCUCAGAGCAUCUAAUUUUUAUUAAAACAAAAUUGCAGAUGAUCUUAAAAGAUGUCUAUAAUAGAAUCUUAAAGGAAUGAGAUAUAUUCUUUCAGUGGAGUUGCCAAGCUGUCAUAACCUAGUAUUGUCUUUUGAAGAUAAUGGCAUUAAAAAAAAAAUCCAUAUGGUAAAAUUCUAAGAGCUUAUUCAAUUUUGAAUCCAAUUUUCACCAAAUGAUUUUCACAUUUUUUUGUUAAAUUAAUUCCAAACUAGAAUUAAUACUUAAAUCUAGUAAAACAUUCAAAAUCUAAUUUCUAAAUUUUCUCCUAAAAUUCUGAUUUUUAUUUUUAUUUUUUAAUGGGGACUUGGAUUGGGUCGAGAGACCCGGUCAGGAUGUGAGUCUUACCUAGACCUUAUGUUGAUUGUGUAAAGAGGAGCAUUAGAUUAUGCUGAGGUUGUUCCUCUAAAAUAACCUUAUUACUCCUUUUGUUCUCGAGAAUAAAAAAGUAGAAUUUUUUUUUUACUUCUUGUUUUUAUUGCAAAUCUAUUCCCUAACUAUUUUUAUUUUAUUUUAUUUUGAGGAAUAGAAAAAUUAAUCAACAUACACAAACAAAUUGAUGUUCUUUUUAAAUUAUGGAUAAUAAAAGAACAGAAAAAUAGAUAAAUACAAACAUAACCAAACGCGCUAUAAAUGACUGAUCGAAAUUUAAAGUGACUUAAUAAUUUUAUUGAUCAACCAUAUUUUGCAUAAAUGAACUAUUAAAAAUACAUAAUGAGUAUCCAUUUUUUGUCCAUUUGACUUUUUGGUAUAGGCCUUUUGUCCUGUAAACUUAAUUAUUUUGUUUUUCUUAAAAUAUCCUAAUAGUUUUAUAAAUAUAUCAUCAAUUUAUACCAACUAUUACUUUUAAAUAAAUUUUGGUAAAAUUACUUUCUCUCCACUUUCUUUAUUUUGUCUCUCUUUUUUUUUGUACAAAAAUAAAAGCUAAAAAAAUUCCAUCCAAAAAAAUGAGAUGAAAAUAUGCAUUUGCCCCUUAAUAGUCGCGUGCGCUACACAUGCUAACGAAAAAUAUGGAAGCUUCGUGGGGAUAACGUGUGAUGGUUGAAAGUUAUGGGCAAACAUGUACUCCCCAAAGUUCCGUGGAGUUUUGUGUAAUAUCUCACCAAAAAAAAAAAAAAAAUACCUCAAUGGUAGAUGGAUGAUCCAGCCUCCCAUCCCGUGAUUCACCAUAGUUCCUGUUUCUAUAUCCAUUUAUAUGCGCCUCGAACAAUUCAUACUUCUCCUUUAAAAAAGUAAAUAAUGAAGUUACAUCACUUUAAUCGACAUAUACCCUUUGUCGAUUCCUUUCAAAUCGGAGAUUAUGGCUAAUCGAACUUUGUUGCGAAAGGUUUUCCUGUCCCAGAAUCGUACUUUGAUUUUCUCAACCCAGAAGUCCCGCUUGAACCCAUCUAAACGUAGCUAGAUCAUAAAGAAAAUCUGAAAUUUUCAAAUCAAGGGGCGAGUCUAAGCAACUACUUUAUGGCCUAGUAUCCAACCGAACACGUCCAUUAAUUAAAUCUACUUUGAACCAAGAAAUAUGCGUUAAUGACAACAUUAGGGACAUUCUAGGGGUACCAUAAAUUUAGUAGAUUUCUGUACGGAGUCGUGUGGCAUUAGAUAUGAUAUGUCUUGAUUAAAUACUUAAGUAGUUCGGUCUUAUAGCUUGGCCAGAGACGGUAGGGAGUGUGUAGUCGGAGAGCAUCUUGGACAUGGGGCGUGAAGCGGGAGGGAGGUUGAUUUUUUUCAUUAGUUAUAGAAUACAUCAGCAUAAAGAAAAAAUUUACUGGCUAUUAUAUUCACUGUUGAUACGAGGGGUUGGUGAGAGAAUAGGUUGUUAAAGUCUUCAAAUGGCAGAAGAAUUACAUUGGUCGAGUUAUUUUCAUUUAUGCUUACUCUAAUGGUGAUUUUUUUUUAAUGGAAAUCUCAAAAUUUAGAAAACAUUUUUGGAAAAAUGAUCAUCUAUAUUGCUUAAUAAAUGAAUGCGAAAUAUUUUCAUCUCCUACAAAAAUAAUUAGGCAUGAAUCGUUAUCGAUAUUGAAGACAUUAUUCAUUGACUAAUUUAUCUAAACAAUAUAACUGAUUCUUUUUCGAAAAAAGUUUUUGAAAUAUUGAAUAUUCUGUGAAACAAUCGCAAAGUUCUCUCUCUUUUUUGAUAUUGUGAUUUAGUGGACAGAUGCCCAAUUCUAACAGCCCAACGAACUAGUGGAGGACUUACGAUGAAGCCUAUUUUUUCUUUUUUUUGGCGGGGGGGAGGGGGGGGGGGGGGCGGGCGGCGGUCAAAUGCGAUGAACAAUGCCUCAAUAAUGCCGACUAUGAUAAGAAAAUAUUGAGUGCUGCUAUUACCGCAACAAAAAAGAAGGAGUCUAAAACGAUGACACGUGUCCAAAGUGAGUCCAAACAUCACUCUCCUGCAAGCUCUCUCCUCUCCUCUCUCCUCUCUCUCGUCCAAAUGCUGUAUGCUCUCUCCUCUAUCCUCGCUCUCGCCCAAAUGCCAGACUUCCUUGCACUCUCUCUCCCUCUCUUUGCCGCCUCCUCUUUAUUCCAUUGAGCCCUCCUCCUACCGACGAAUUUCGUGCCAGCGAAGGCAACCUUUCGAGCCACCACGCCCUCAUCCGACCGAAGAACUUCGUGGUGGCAAAGGCAACCUCGAGGUGGAGCCAUGCGAUGGUUUGUCAGACGAGCCACCGUACCCAACUAAUGAACUUCGCGACGGUGGAGGCAGCUUCGAGGUGGAGCUGCACGGUGGUUCAUCGGAUGAGCCACCAUACCCUCGUCUGAUCGACGAGCCACAGUGCCCAUUCGGCGACAGCUCGCUGCCCUCUACUGGUUGUGCUUUUUCUCCCUUUGAGUCAUGACCGAACCCUCGUCCGACGAAACACCACACGGCUCCACCUCUACCUCAAAAGGUUGCCACCGCCGGCACAAAGUUCGUCGGUUGGAGGAGAGCUUGGCGGGAUACAGAGGGGGCGGCGAAGAGAGAGAGAGAGAGAGAGAGAGAGAGCGUGUAAGGGAGAGAAAAGAGAGAGAGGGUGGCAAGGGAGUUUGGCAUUUGGGCGAGAGGGAGGAGAGAGCUUGCAGGCGAGUCUCACGUUUGGCUCAUUUUGGACACGUGUCGCCAUUUCAAGUCCUUUUUAUUGUUGUGCCGGCUAUAGGCACUCAAUAUAUUCUCGAUAAUGUUAAUGAUAGAGAAUAUGCAUUAAUUGGCGAAAAGGAAAAAAUGACAUAAUAAAGUAUACAACGUCAGCACCAAAUAAUAUGACGUCACCGAACAAAAACUAACCUUGACCUCCUCCUUCUCGGAUUCGUACCCCACGCUAGCGCUCACAUCCUCGUUAUCCAUGAAAUAAGCCUUGGGACACCUCGUCUUUAAUCCAUACCUCUUGCAAAACGGCGACCACCGUCUCGCGAAAUCGUACGCCUCCCUCAUCCCGUGCAGCGUGAGCAGCGAGCUGCCGUCGUCCGAGAGGUACACGUGGAGCUUCUCCGGUGGAUAGUCGAGCGCCAUUGCCGAUAUCACCGUGUUCAUCACUGCCACGGUGGGCUCCUUAUCGGGGUCCGCUGUGCACACCAGCACGUCUAUCGACGGGAGCUCCCCAUCGCCGGGCAACCUCUCGGGAAAGGCGGUCCGCGAUACAGGCCGCCAUCGGAAGGCCUGGUAGAGAAGCCACGUGAGGGACAGCGUUAGCUCGCCCAGGAAAAUAAUGAGCCAAGCCAAAGUGGUGGGUUGGCCCGGUGAGCUAGCUUCUUCGGCGAAGAAAAAGGAAGCUCUAUAGUGUAUAAGGAUAAGUAGAGCUGCUCCAUGGAUGAGCAUGUGUGCGCGGUUGACGGCGAUCAAUUUCGGGUCGACAUGGCAAAGGUUUAGGGGGUGCGAACGAUGCUCCAUAGUUCUUUCCUUCUCUGUCCUUGAGGCGACGCCACUAGCCUUUCCGAUCGAUCCUCGUCGACGGUGGUCAAUAGAGGAGGAGGAGGAGGAGGAGGAGGAGAGAGAGAGGAAGAAGAGGCCAGCUUUAUGUGGAGAGAAAGAAGAGCAAGUAGGGAACUAGAUACGAUAAAUGUUUUGUGGUAUGGGAACGUCACGAUCCCUUUCUAACUUGGUCCGGAUUAUAUAGUAUGUACUCCAUAUCAUGCUAUAUCUCCUUAUGUGAAGAUGGGCAUCUCUUAAAUGGACUCGAGAGCCCUAGCUACCGUUCAUCGAUAGGCUAAGCCUCCAUUAUGUCGUCUUCCGUAAUCGAGAGGUUUCGCAGCACUCUUGUUUGGCCGGCGGAUGGGCGAUCGCCCUCAAAGAAAGGUUAGUGCGCUUUCCCUUCUUUCUCAUCGUCCUUUUUUGGCUAGUAGUGGGGCGGUCUUCGAAUCAGUUGUCACUCACCUCGACAUGUCCCCGAUCUCGACAAGGACGGUGGAGGGCUCAAUGAUACAGCCACCGUCUAUCUAUUUAUGAAUGAUAGUCCUUCGUUUAAUUUUUUAAAUAUUUAUUUUGUAAUUUGGUCUUUCCUCUUCCGUUGAUUCGUCACCAAAAUCGUCGAGCAAAUGCCUUAGUUGUGAUGUACUUCUUUUUUUUGGUCAGAUAAUUGUGUCGUCCUUUAAUAGUGAUGGGUUUUUAUGUUUUGAUGGGCUUAUUUAAGCCUGUCUUCCCAUGUUGGGCCAAAACGCGGCCCGUAAGUGAAUGGCCCAUGGAAGAGUGUAGUUACUAUAAAAUAAAAAAUAAAAAGGGAAAAUCUUGGCAGUUAAUACAUCUACUCAGUUGGUUAUCAGAUAAGCAACGUCUUUGAUAAGAGAGAAUACGUUUUCUCAAUUUAAUGCUCUCUUAGUUUUCCCAAGUACAGUAUGCUCAUUUGAAGAACAGUAUCAGAAGUCCUCAUCAAACUACGACAAUGGUGUUUAAUCUGUGGAAGAUAAGGUAUGUUCGACUCUGUAAUGUACCUUAUAUCGGUGUAACAUGUUUUCUGGGCACGCUUUCCACGUUUGUUUUCCGGCAUUCAAUUGAGUAUCAGAUCGUUAUUUUUUGGGAAUCUGUUUCCCUACAUUGGUAUCAGAGUGAUGUUGUUUAUGUUUCCCGAUUACUGUUCAUGUUUUUUUUUUUUAAUGACCCAGGGAAGCCCCGUACAAUGCGGGCGGCUGGAGUAAACUCUGGGGCCCCAUGGGAGGACCCACCACCCCCGUGGAACGGGUAAGACGCCAAGCGUCUCCGUGGCGAGUCAAACCCUCACCCUCCGAGAAGGGGUCAGUGGGCCCCCCAUGAUGAGGAAGACUUGCCAGCGGAGCCACUAUGACCAAUGGUCCGAUUACUGUUCAUGUUUAUAAAUUGUUUUUUGUUGAAAUUUCGUGAAACGCUGCAGUUGGUCGCUCGGGGAUGGAAAACCCGACACCGCGUACUGUUCACCCCCUUUAUGAUUUUCAGUAAAUCGAAUCUCAUUUUUGAUACCGUAAGGUCGUAGCUCUCGUUGAUACGAGAAAAUCGACUGGAGGUUCACUGCUGGGGGCCAUCAGACGCACCGCCACACACUGCUAGAAUGUCCGGCGUCAUCGGUGCGUGCAACACAUGCGCUGAGGCAGUUCCCAAGUGCGUGCAACGCACGCACAAGCGGGCAAACUGCAGGAGCGUGCAAGGCAUGCGUGCGGCAACCGUUGGCGCAUGCGCACAUCGCCAGCUGAUGUCAUCGUGACGUCAGCCAGCAGUUGCUCACGCAUGUGCCGAUGACGUCACGAUGACGUCACCUAGCAAGGUCGGUCGGUUCGACCCGACCCGACCCAACUCGUCUGACUCGACCUAUUUGCGUUGACCCGUUGAUUAUUGACCGUUGACAAAAAAAAAAGGAUGUGUUUAUUUUUUAAUUAAGUUGCUUUGAUUAUGAGUAAUCAUUUUUUGUUUUGCAUUUGUUGUAGCAAGAAUGCCUCCCCUUCAGGUGCGCACACCUGUUCGUGCAAAUACAGCAAGUCAAAAAGAAAGGCUUUCAAGGUUGAUAGCUGAGUUGACUGAUUAUCGAUGGGAGAAUAGCAAUUUAAUUGAACAUGUUCUUAAGGUCAACAAGAAGAUACAAGAAGUCAUUUGGAAGGGUUAUCCCAUGCCAACUUUUGAGAUGGUGUGAUUCUUCAUGAACACUCUUCCACUAUAAUGACAAUGAGUGUUGAAUCGCUUAUGGGAGGUCAACAGAGUUCCUAAGUAUAAGAGGCUUGUAAUAGCUUUUAUAGAUGAAUAUUAUCAAAUUGAAGCCACAGAAACUGCGAUCCAAGGAAUGACUUCAAUCCGGCGGGGGAUGAAUGUGCUAAGGAGAAAUCCUAAGGGAUAUCCGUAUGUUUUUCCAUGGUUGCUGAAUGUGCCUAAAGAUUUUACAGAUGAUAAUUUGGAGAAAUUAAAAGAUUAUUUUCAUGUUCAUAGGUUGACUUGGCGUUAGCUGUUUCUAGUGGUUUCUAUUUAGUAUGUUUUAAUGGAUAUCUUAUGUAAAUACUUUCUACCUAGUUGAUGUCGUUGUAGCAACUAAUGUAUUAGUUACAUUAUGUGGAAAUAUUAUUAUUCUAUCAUUUAUGGAUGUCUAAUAUCAUUUGCUUCUGUUUUUAUUAACUGUUGUGGGUAGUUCAUAGAAGUUUCAGUAACUUCAAAGAACUUAUUAUGCAUAGAAGAUUAUAUUAAUGAUAAUUUCAAGUUAGGAUUUUUGAAUGAUUAUCGGAAAUUUAGUGACAUUUUGAUUCUGAAACCUUAUUUGAAUUAUUCAUUAAUAUGAUAAGUCUGUGCAAAAUGAAUGCAUGCGAGUAGCAUGGAGAAUGAUGUCAUGCGAGAGUUCAGGCGUUUUGAGAAUGCCAAGAAAAUAUGAGAAGCAUUGGCAGCAAGAUUUGGUCAUGCAUUGGUGACCAAACUGAGGCGGCUCACUAUAAGAUUUGACUCUUACAAGAAUCCUCAUGGUCAGACCAUGAAACAACACUUGAGAAAUAUCUCAAACAUGAUUAAUGAGCUGAAAGAUGAUGGCCAUGUCGUAACUGAUGAGUAGUAAGUGCAAGCAGUGAUUCGUUCUUUGCCUCAGGGUUGGGAGCAUAUGAAGGUGCACCUAACCCACAAUGAGAACAUCAAAAUCUUUGAGGAUGCAGUGCGCCAUCUUAAGCUAGAAGAAGACCGCAACCUGACGAUUAAGUUAGAAACCGACAUUUAUUAUGUUGGUUUUAGCUCACAUAGAGCUUCGAGCUCGAAGCGCAAACGUCCUGAUUGGUUCAAAAGGUGGAAAGCUAAGGGAGCAAGUUCUUCAAGGAAGAAACCAAAAGUUAACCAACAUGAAAGAGGAAAUCGUCCUUGAAUGAAUAAGCUGUCAAGGGUGAAGUGUUACAAUUGUGAUAAAAUGGUCACUAUGCUCGUAACUAUCGCAAGCCAAAGAAGGCACACACCCAUUGUGCUUUUGGGAACUUUGCUUAUGUGUCAAGUUCAGUAUUCUUAACGAAACUAAUCAUUUGUGAACUAUAGAUUUAGGAGCAACAGGCCAUGUAGCGAAGGAUAGAGAAUCCUUCGUGGAAUUUCGACAAGUACCGAUUGGAACUAAGUGGAUCUAUGUAAGAAAUAACUCCAAAGCCAAAGUAAAAAGGAUUGGCACCUGCCAAUUGAACAUGCGUGGUGGAUGUACUUUGUUUUUACAUGAUGUUGUCUAUGCUCCAGAGAUUUUUCAGAAUUUAGUGUCUAUUUUAGUGUUGGUAAAGCUUGGUUUUAGUUUUGAACUUCCAUAAUAAUGGUGUGGAUUUGUAUUUGAAUAGAAAAAUAUGGUUGUGGUUAUUUUCUAGAUGGUUUUAUUAUAUUGAAUGUUGACUGUGGUGAUGUCAAUGUUUGUUAUUCCAUUUUCACUUCUUCUAUUUCAUACAAUAAUGAUGUGAAUGAGUGAUAUGCUAGACUUGGCCAUAUUGGCCAAUAGCAUAUGAAUAGGCUAGCCAAAGAGGGCUUGUUAGGCAAUAUUGAAAAAAUUGAUUUGCUCAUAUGUGAAUAUUGCCUAGUGGGGAAAACAAUAAGGAGACCAUUUGGAAAAGGUAAAAGAGCUGAAUUUCCUUUGCGAUUAAUCUAUUCUGACAUAUGUGGUCCAAUGAAUGUGAGAUGAAGGUAUGUGAUUGUUUAUUUCAUCACAUUUAUAGAUGAUUACACUCGACUCGGACAUGUCUAUUUGAUUUCUCAUAAAUCUAAAGCAUUGAGUUGUUUCAAAAAUUUUAUGAGCUUGGUAGAAAAUCAAUUAGAUAAGAAAAUAGAAGUAUUGAGAUUUGAUCGAGGUCGAGAAUAUUUAUCUGAUGAGUUUAGAGAUUUAUGUGAUGAAAAAUGAAUAGAAAAACAGCUGUCUAUUUCAUACAUUUCUCAACAAAAUGGUGUUGUGGAAAGAAGAAACAAAACCCUAUUGGAAAUGGUUAGGUCCAUGAUGACGCAUACUAACUUACCUAUCAAUUUUUGGAGUGAUGCUUUAUUAACUACUGCCUAUAUACUUAACAGUGUGCAUUCCAAAUCAGUUACUUCAACUCCAUAUGAGUUAUUGAUAGAUAGAAAAUCGGACUUAAGUUUUCUCAAUGGAGAAUUAGAGGAAGAAUUAUAUAUGGAAUAACCUGUUGGUUUCAUUAUAAAAGGCCAUGAAUAAAAGGUAUGUCGACUUAUGAGAUUGAUAUAUGGGCUUAAGCAGUUGUCGAGACAAUGGUAUAUACAUUUUCAUAAUGCCAUAAUUGCAUAUUAUUUUUCGAUAAUUGAUUAGGAUCAUUAUGUAUAUCAAAAGAUCCAAAGAUCAUUUUGUGAUCAUAUCAUUAUAUGUUGAUGAUAUACUAAUUGCCGGAAGCAAUAUGAAGUUUGUAAAUACUGUCAAGAGUUGGUUAUCUUCCAAUUUUGAGAUGAAAGACAUGGGUAAGGCUGCAUACAUUCUUAGAGUUAAGAUUUCAAGAAAUCGUUCAAGAGAUUAUUAUCUCUUUCGCAAGAAACAUACAUAAAUAAGGUUAUUGAACAAUUUUAUAUGCAAGAUUGUAAACUCAUAGAUACUCCUAUUGCAAAAUGUGAAUGAUUGAGCCAUAGAAUGUGUCCAAAGACUCCACAAAAGAAGGAACAAAUGCAACAUGUUCCUUAUGCUAGUGCUAUUAAAAGCUUAAUGUAUGCUAUAAUGUGUACAAAACCUGACAUAUAUUUUGCAAUUAGAAUGGUGAGUAGAUACCAAUCCAAUACAGGUCAAGCACAUUAGAAAGCCAUUAAAAGAAUACUGAAGUAUUUAAAAGGAACUGCUGAUUAUAUGUUGAGUUACCAAGGAAAUGAUUUGCGACUUGAAGACUAUUUAGAUGUUGAUAAGGGAGGAUUUAGAUGAAAGGAAAUCUACCAUUGGAUUUGUUUUCUUACUGAAUAAUGACGCAAUAUCUUGGAGCAGUAAGAAACACACGUAUAUAACCAUGUUCACGAUGGAAGUUGAGUUCGUGGCAUUAUCAGCAGCAAUACAAGAAGGUGUUUGGCUUAAGAGAUUUUUUUGGAUCAUUUAGGUAUUAUUGAGAAUAUUGCAAACUCAUUGUUGGUUAACUGUAAUAGUCAAGUAGCGAUAGCGUACACUAAAGAUCCAAAAUAUUAUGAUAAGACUAAACAUAUAUAUACCAAGUAUAAUUUUGUCAAAGAUAUGGUUGCACGAAAAGAUAUGAACUUAUAGCACAUAUUUACGCAUAGAAUGGUAGCAAAUCCUAUGACGAAACCAAUACCUAAAUCUGUGUUCUAUGGACAUGUGAAAUCUCUAGGAUUACGUAGAGGCUGAUGUACUGAAUAUUGUAAUUUCCCUAAAGUGUUCACACGAGUAAUCACCUCUAUUUACUACGUGAUAAAUAGAAAUGAGACAAUUUUUAAGCUUAUUAUCUAGGUGAUAAUCGAGAGCUCAAGCUUAAAAUUUAUAUGUCAUCUUAACUGAGUGUUAAGAUGAUGACAUAAUAUUUAAUAUGUCCGAAAGUAAAAUAACCCACAUAUUUUACUUUAUCUGUCUAUAAUGUCAAAUGUGAGUUAUGAUGAAUUAUGUGAAUGAGUAGAUAUGUGAACUCGAGUUAGACAUUAGGUAUGUUUGAAUUAUCAUCUGUACGGUAUUGAAGGUGUAGACAUAUGCUCCAUGGGAAAUGAGUUAAUAUCGUAAUACGUAUUUCAUACAACGUAUGCAUGAGACGAUCAACAAUAGUGGCAAAAGUUUUUAUCUCAACUUUUAUACCGUGUGAGACUCUUAAGGAAAAGAGUUCUUCAAUUAAGUACCCUUAUGACUUUUACUUAUUCUCAAUAUUUCUAUUCAGUGUUUGUUAUCUUAGAAUAUUGCCAACGAUCAUGAAUUGAUUCGAUCUAAUUGGACAUUUCUAGAAAAGUAAGUUGAAUUGAAAUUGAGAGUUUCAAGGAAAGAGGAAAAUCGAAUUUGGAGAAUCACAUUCUAGUUUUGUAUUCACUGGUCAACCAAUUAUAAUUGUUUUUAGGAUAACCAUAAUUGUGAAUACAAUAUAUCAUUGUUUAAAAAGAUAUUAAGAGAGAUAUAAAUGUGAUUGAUCGAUUUAGGGUACUGCAUAUUAAAUCUACUCAAAAUUGUGAUGCUUAUUAUGAGCUGCUAUAUAUUUCUAAUAGAUGUAUGGCAAUGAGCUCUCAAAGUAUGCUGGUCGCACAGAUUAUUCACCGGUAUGAAUGUUGUAAAAAGGUAAAAAAAAAAGAGAGAUCUGUUUGGCCCACCAUGUGCGAGUGGGAGAUGAUGGGUUUUUAUGUUUUGAUGGGCUUAUUUAAGCCCAUCCACCCAUGUUGGGCCAAAACCCGGCCCAUAAGUGAAGGGCCCGUAGAGGAGUGCAAUUACUGUAAAAUAAAAAAUAAAAAGGGAAAAUCUUGGCAGUUAAUAUAUGUGAUCAGUUGGUUAUCAGAUAAGCAGCGUCUUUGAAAAGAGAGAAUACAUUUUCUCAGUUUAACGCUCUCUUAGUUUUCCUAAGUACAAUACGCUCUUUUGAAGAACAAUAUCAGAAUUUCUCAUCAAACUGCGACAACGGUGUUUAAUCUGUGAAAAACAAGGUAUGUUCGACUAUGUAAUAUACUUUAUGAUUGGUGUAACAUGUUUUUUGGGGACCCUUUCUGCAUUUGUUUCUCGGCAUUCGAUUGAGUAUCAGCUCAUUAUUUUUUGGGAAUCCGUUUCCCUACAAAUAGGAGCAAGUGUGUCCUGAGAAAGUGAGGUGGGAAGAGCGUGAGCAUGUAUUGUCAAUUUUUUGGCAGAUGGGAGCCGUGCGUUUCAUUUAUGAAAUGGUAUUAGAAUUAUAUGUGUAUGUAAAGGAGUAUGGUCACGAACCUAUAUUUUCGAAAUAAUUUCAUAAUAUACAUGCGAAGCGACUAUAACAUUUUACUUGAUAAAAUUUAAUCUCUCUCUCACGCACGCGUGUGAACUUUCAUGUGUAACAUGGACAGCGCUAGCAUGACCACGCUGUCACUUUCUAUGAGUAAAGGUGCAGUUUGGGCUUUUCAUUUUUGCAUAAUGGGGCAACCGGAUGUAAAUUUGCUUUGGAAAAUGAUCUUUUUUGCACGUGCUGGUAUUUUAAGAAACAAAUCUAAUGAUAUUCGAGAAAGAGAAAUUCAUGAAGAGUUGACUACCGAUUUUAGAUGGUGGAUAUUCAUCCAAAAUUUUAGAAGAUGAUAUCAUGUAGUCAAGUGUCGGAAAAUCACAUACUAUAAAUAAAAAUAUUCACAUUUUACAAAGGUUGCACUUAUAACAUAAAUUAGAAAUUUUUCAUAUACUAUCAUAAUUUUAAUAUUAAAAUAUUCUUUGUUGCACUUGGUUAUAAUAAAACUUCAUCAAACGUCAUUGCAAAAUACUUGAAAAUUUUGAAAAUAUUAAAACAUCAUAUAUUAACAUGUGUAAUUGGUCCGUUUAUGAAAUCUAGUGGUGGUGGUGGAGGCGGCAAUAGUAGUGGUAAUAGCAGCAACAAUAGUAAUAUUGUCCGUUUAGGAAAUUUAGUAGCAGUAACACUUCUUGUGGCUAAUAACUCCAUUACUCAUGCAAAAAGUGACGGACCAUUAUGUGGGCAUUACCCAUUAUACAUAGACCUGUAUUAGCAUCUACUUCUCCCUUGAAAAGCCAUUGAACUUGAAUUGUUGAAGCAAAUAGUUGAGUUGAGUUACUCUGUAGUAACAGAGAAAUUGUCUAAUGAAUCCCAAAUUCAUUGUUAGAUAUUAAUUCUGUUUUGAACUUUUUAAUCGUGUCAAUUUAGCCCUAAACAUUUGCACAAAAUCCCUAUGUAAUCAUCUCAGCUAAUUUUCACUGGAAAUUAUUGGUGUGACACUCCAAUGAAUUUACAAGUGCAUUGAACACUCAACUAAAGCUGCUCUAGCCUGCAGCUUCCUCAAAGUAGAAGUAGCUAUACAACAUGACAUGUAUAAACUCGGUAAUCAAUCAUUUCAAACGACGCGAAGAAUAUACAUGUCUCUUCUAAAGGAGGCAUCAAAGACUUCACUUGUAACUCUUCCCCAACUCCGCAUUCUCUACUUCAUCACUUUAAAGUUUGAACUAUUUAAUAUAAAGUUCAUGGAUUUUCAAACCCAUCAAGAUUCUUAGAAAAAGAACCACUAAACACUACUAAUCUCAUUAACUUAUUGUCUUAAUAUGGAAACAAAAGCAAGUUUCCCACUUUUACUCUUCCCCUCUUCCCCAAAUAGACAACCUCUAAUUAGGUUUGUGGUCCUAAAGAAUCAUGAAAGUAGGUAAAUCAUUUUUGAUCGAAUCCAUUCACAUUCAUUAAGGACUUUCUGUCAUUUUCUUUGAUUUGUUCUUCUUAUCAAGGAUCUUAAUAUGGAUAUUUCUAAGAUUUUGACCACCGAGCGUGGCCAGCAGCCAAGUGUAAUGGGUGAUGUGUACAAGGCUCAAAAGCAAACUCGCCGCUGUAUAAUUGAUGGACAGUUUUAGCGACUCAAAUUGUACUCAGAUUUCAUGAAUUGAGAUCUGAACUAAGAAUGAGUGUUUGGAUUUGGCUCAUACCCGUGUGAUCAUGACCCUUUGUCUCAGCCUUUGCAGCAUGUGUGUUGCCCAGGAGGUAAGAGGCAUGAAGCCUUGACCUCAUCCUCACCUUCCUUUGGCAUGUCCCCCAAAGCGUUUAGGAUUCCAAACUUAACAGGGACAUUAGGGUUGCACUCAUUUUGGGAUUUAGAACAACACCUUGUGGCACGAGCUAACGACCAUCAUAUGCACCACUUGUAUCGUCCGCAUUCCCAAAGGCAUGCCCCUCUAGCAUUGCAAAUAACUUCUGUAAUUUUGGAAGCAAAAAUAUGAGAAACAAAGGAUUAGCGAGGCAUACCCCCUGGCAUUGCAAAUAACUUCUGUAAUUUUGGACGCAAAAUACAAGAAACAAAGGUUUAGCAUUUCUUGAGGAUCAAUCACGAUUGAGAAGCCAUUUCUCAUGGGCAUGUCCUUAUACAAAGCCCCUUCUGAUGGACAAGGAUGAAAGUAGUUACUUGCUAUUAGAAAAAGAGAUAUCUGAAAGUGGUAUACACAAGUGAAAGAUCAUGAAGCAAUCUCCACUAAGCUGACCUAUCUUGCUGCUUCAAUUGGGUUUGUCAAUGAUUGAUUGGAGAUGAAUUUAGCAAUAAUAAGUAUGCCAAGGGUAGUGCUCAAAUCGGGUAGGGCCUCGAUUCACUAGAGCAGUCUGUGAUGCCUAAGUUAGUACGUGUAUCUAAGGGGAGAGAGAUAGAGGCCAUAUGCCAGGAUUUUAUAAUUAAGAAUUUGUUUGUUUCAUCAAAAAUUUCUUGAUAAAAAGUAAUAUUUACCAUGAAAAUCAUUAUUAAGGAAAACGUUAAAUUUUCAUUUGUUUAGUAGAUUAAGAAAAGUGAUUUCCUUCUUGCCAAAAAGAAGAAGUAAUUUUCUUUCAAUCUAAACUUCUUGUUUUCAGUCCAUGGAAAACGUUUCCCAUAACUUAAUUAGUUUUCCAUCAUUCAAAUAUCGGAAUGUAAGAAAACAAUUUCCUACAAACGGUCUUCUUUCAAAUAAAUGGAUCCUGGUAUUAUGGAAGAGGUAGACUAGGAGCUUUACCUAGUGGGCCAUAAGAAUUGGACCUAAGCAUCCCAAUCCAAUUGUAGUAAGCCAAUAUAAGGAGGCCCAUUUACAAAUAAGUGUUUGGAUCAUGUAUUGAACAUAGCAAUUGGGCCAUGCAAGAGUGGAUGGGCUUUGCUUAUUUAAUAUUCUGGUUUGCGUGCUACGGCAGGGUCCAAUGGUCACAUUUGCAAUUGCAUGGGCUUUUGCUUUUUUGAUAUUCCGGUUUGCACGUUUCACAAAUCAAGGAAAAUUUCAAUUAAGAGCCUAAAGUAGAACCGUUUUCUCAAGAAAGGACCCAAAAUGGAUAUUGUCUCAAACAAGAACCUAAAGUGACUAACUUAAUUUCAAAUAAGGGCCUCAACUUAAAAGCCAACCAAAUCUUAUUUGCAUAUAGGGGUAUUUUCGUCUAAAUUUUUUUUUCCUUCUUUUUUUUUUAAAUUUAUUUUCUCAUUCUCUUUCUUUUAUUCAUCAUCAUCAUCGUGCCUUCGCCUUUUUCACUCUUUAGAUCGCUUUCUCCAAAGUCCAUCUCUAGCUUCCUUACCGAAUUAGCCAUCAAUGCCCUCAACCUCAUUUGUAAUUGCCCUCAACAGCAAUUCCAAUACAUUUGUUGAAAGAUGGAGGUCAAUCCAAGCCCUAGAUCAAGCACGAGUGGACCAAGAUGUGACGCUUAGGUCGAUUCGAUCCCCACAUCUUGCUGUCGUGGUAAACCACGAAGCAUGAUAAGUUGUAAGCCAUUAGCUUGCUGCCCUUGUUGUCGUCGAUGCUUGAAUUCAAAUCGGUGUUCACGCAGGCUAUGAUUGAUCUUAGCGAGGAGAAGCUAGAUUGAAGUUCCUAAGCCAAAUUUAUUAAAGGUUUUUGAGGAAUCUCUGUGAUACUCAUGUGCAUUGAUUUGUUUAGUGAAAUACGUGGUUUUGGAAAUUCCUGAGCGAUUUUGUACUUUUUUCAUUUUGUUAUUCUCUCUCAAAUCUGUGUAGAUAAUAUUUCAGAGUUAGAGAGGCAAAUUUGUUUGAACAUGUGUAGACCAGAGUCAUUUGUUUUUUAGAUUAAGUGAUGUCUGAUUCGAAUUGCCACCAAAGAUGAGUAUCUCCAAUCAUGGGUUAGAAUGAUUCAGCAGCCUUUGAAAAUAACCCGCAUGCACGACACAAUAGGACCCUCUCAAGAAGCCAUAUAUUCCACCUCAAUGCAAGCUGUGUCUAUGAAUGUUAUGAAUAAUCCAACCCGGACCCAAUAAAACAUUCCCAAGAAGCUAUGAGUGAAAGUUAUCGUGGCAUCGACAAUUUCAUUGGUGGGGAGAGCAUGAAACUGUUACUUUAAUUGCCAUAAUAAGUUUUUAAGAAAAUUGAAUAAAAACAAAACCCACUGAUGAUAUUUCUUGAUUCUCAAGUCCAUUAUUGUCAUCGGAGAAAGUGAGUGGUGGCGAAUAACUUAAAAACCAGCUUAUGCCAAAAUCAAUGAGUUCUUGGGUGAGGAUGCAAAAUUGCAUAAUGUAGAGCAUGCGCUUUGAAGUUUGCUAAUGGGGAGGCUGCAAAACUGAAGCACACAAUUUGCAGUUUUCCAAAACUGCAUAACUUCUUAAAUAUCUUUUCGUUUUCUUCUUUUCCUAAACUGUUUAAAUUGUUUUACACUUGUGCAAGCUCGUGUGUGAGGAGUCUGAUGCAUUUGUUAAGAAGGAGGUGAGCAAGAUGAAAAAAGAAAGAAAAAAAAAGAAAAAGGAAAAAAAAAGUCUUUAGACGAAAAUACCCCUAGCUGCAAAUAAAAUUUGAUUGGCUUUCAAGUUGAAACCCUUAUUCGAGACUAAAUUGGUUACUUCUGUCCCUUAUUUGAUACAAUGUCCACUUUAGGCCCUUUUUUGAGAAAGCAGUUCCACUUCAGGCCCUUAAUUGAAAUUUUCCCCACAAAUCACAACCUGCAAUAGUUACAUAUAGACUGAUCUCUCCUACAUUAAAUGGAGUAGGCUUGAAAGAUCUAACUUUAUGCAUGUUUUGGACCUCUUAUACCUUAAUUUUGUGCAAAUCAAAUAAAUAUUUUAUCAUCGUCACCUAUACAUAAACUUUUUAAAGUCCUUAAUGUGAUUUUUUUUUUUUUUAUCUCUUUUGAGCUUCACAAUUGUUGUUUCAAAUGCUUAUUACAUUUAGUUGUACCAAGAACGAUAAUAUACAUGUGAAUUGGAACUUUCUUGGGAUGAGAAUGUAUAUAACUACCGAUAAUUCGAAAUUAGUGAAUGGAAACGUGCAAAACCACUAGCAUUUUGAAUUACUAAAGCAUCCUCUUUUGGAUCUUUUCCUUUGCUAGUCUUGAAUCCAAAUCAUGGGUGUUAAUAAAUAAACAUAGACAGAUUUCAUCAACAAAACUAAUAAACUAAAUAAAAUAGAGAAAGAGAUACUAGGUAACAAGAAUCAUAGCUGAAAUCAUAUAACUUUUAAAAUUGGGCAUCCUCUUCUGAUGGUUGCUCGAUGAUUCAAGCUUUUUAUUUUCAAUUCAUGCAGAAUAUUUUCAGUCGAUUGAGUAGUUUUCCAUCAUCAAAACGCUGAAAAGUCCAAAAAUGAUUUUUCAAAAAUGGUUUUUUAUCAAACAAGCUGACCUUGAGGAUCUUACACGUACCUUUAGUAGGAACAAUUCAUCUUCAUCAUUGAGAUACGGAUUUUGAUUUAGCAACUGGAAGGUAAAGAAAAGACAAAAAAGAAGAGUAUAAACUCUUGACUAUAAAAAGAAGAAAUAAAUGGGAGAUGGUUAAAUUGCUUCUGUCCUUUUCCAUCAUCAAAGUACAAGCUUGUUGCUCAUUACAUCCUUAAAUAUUGCUAAAAAGAGCUAGGUUAACUAAUUUUUGUCACUUCAGUGAAUCUUACAUAGUGUAAAGUUGAAUUCCGUCGGUUUCUAAUUAGAACCAAUGAUAAAGUACCAAGUGUGUUGGAUUCCGAUGUAAUUGGGUAUUUGGAAGUGUCUCAUGUUGCCGAAUAUAGCAUUAGGAAUCACUAUGACAAAAGAGAAUAGAAUCAAAAUCAAUCAUGAUAAAGAUCGAAAGUAUACGCGCUUCUGACAUCAGGAGAAUAUUUGGAUCAAAGGGCUCCUUGCUUUUGAAUGAAGAAUUGAUAGAUAAAGCAUUUUGAAUAAGAGUUACUUCUUCUUUUUUACUAUACUUGUAAAUUUGCACACGUACUGCAUGUGCGCAAGAAAUCGAGGUCUGAAAAAUUGAGCAAAUUCACUUUAUUAUGAAAUGUUAAAAUUGCUAAAUAAUGGGAAACGGAUUAUUAAUAAUGAUACACAAUUCAAUUGUGUAUAUAUUUGUGGACUAAAGAAUUUCAAGAUUGAAAUCUUUUUAAGAAAGUUGUUUAGGAUUGAAAAUAUGUAUAUUUUUAUGUUAAUGCAUGUGAAGAUAUAAAAUAUAAUCGUAAGUUUAUGCAUUCGUGCAUAGACACAAUAUUUAUAAAAUAAAUAUCUAAUGAUUUUUGGGGAAAGAGAAGAACCGAUUGAGAUCAAUAUUUACAGCCCGUAAGCUUUAGAAAUUGGAAGAUGAAAAUUAUCUUUUUAAUUUGUGUUUAGCUUCUCAAGAACCCAUUUUGAAUAUUGAUAAUAGCUGAAGAAUAUGUUCCAUGGUAUUUCCCAUUUUAGAAUGCCAAAAAGUGAAAUUGGUUUUUAGAAGCACUUAUUUUAAUAUGCUUACGAGGUUCCAAUGCUUCCCACCACGAACUGCUUUCAAGCCUGGUUGCGAUAAUCUAAUUUAAGUGAGGUUGUUAUCGAUUAUUUUCAUCUACGAAAAUAUAAUAUAACACAUUGUAUUAAUCACAUAAUGGAAGCAUGCCAUAUUUACUGUGACAUCCCGAUUUUUCAAUUCUAUUUUCAAUAAAUUGAGACAAGCAUUUCGUUGGCACGCAUAUAGUUUUUUUCCUUGAGUCGGCCACGCAUGUGAAAACUAGUCUAUCGGGUGAAGCCGUUAAGAAAUUCUAAUGCAUCAGACUCGAGAAUUUGACUAGGAAGCGAUCUUUCGACCGAGCUAAUCUACAAGGGUCAUUACGGCACAAUUAAAAAUCGAUUAGAGAUCGGAAAUAGGUCGACUGGACAGAGGCAUGUAAUCGGGUGUGGGUGAUUACACCAGAUUGCACAAUUCUUGUCGAUCGGCACUGGACCGACUUUUUUAUCGAUUGGGUACCCUGUGUUCGUAUUUGAAACCUUGAGAUUACCCCGACAACCGAAAGUCGCCAAUGUUUCAAAGAUGUACGUUGUGGCUUGAGAUGAUCAACCACAUGUCAAAUGCAUGAAAAUUUUUAAAGGCUACCCGGUAGGUUAGACCGCGCUGGUAUCAUGCCAAAGUGAAAUUAACCGUGGAAUUGAGAUCGAAUUCAGAAAUUGGAAAUCUGGGUGUGUCACAAAUCAUUUCAGGAUCAUUGAAUCAUCUUUGGAAGAUUUUUCAUGCAAUCAGAGUUUUUCAGCAAUUAAAUCAGAGAAUGGCUAAUUUGGCUCGAGAAAUUAGUAGGCUCGUCUUUGGUCGCGCUUUUGGGACUUAAGUCGGUUCUAUGGACAAGUGAAGAUGUGAAUUAGAGUGUGGUGGCAUUGGAUUAAUUUUAUGGACUUCAAUUUGAUUCAAUUGGGAGAGAAUUGAUUGGAAUUGAAGGAAUUGAUGUACAAAGUUUUAUGCCCCGGCGGAAAAUGGAAUUGCAACCAUUGGAAUAAGGUUGUGGGAGAUAGUGGAGUGUGAUGUCAUCCUAGGUCAUGGUGGGCCAUUUUUGUUGGAUAAAAGAAAGAGAAAAAGAAAAUAAAAAGGGCCCCCCUCCUUCUCUCUCCUCCCUCUCUUCUUCCUCUCUCCCGUGCGACCACUCUCCAUCUCCAUUUUCUUCUCCAGCUUCGAACCAAGCAACCGGAAGCCAGCAGCCAUUGCAGCUGCAGCUGGAGCCGUCGCCGCCUUCGCCCUUCCGCUCGUCGUCGCAGCCGCGCCUCGCCGCUCGGACCUCGGCCUCCCUCUCUCCUCUCUUCUCCAUCUCCGGUUUCUACUCCAAGACCAGCAGAUCUGAGCACGCCGAGGAUGGCUGCAGCUCAGCCGGACCGCCGUUCGCCGCUCGCCCGACCAGCUCGCCCGUCGCCGAAGCUCGUUGCUGUCGCCAUUCGUCCACAUGCACGUUGUCUUGUGCGCGAGCUACUCCGCCCUCCUAUCUCUGCUUCGUGUUUAGCGCCAGCAGCCAUCGUCNNNNNNNNNNNNNNNNNNNNNNNNNNNNNNNNNNNNNNNNNNNNNNNNNNNNNNNNNNNNNNNNNNNNNNNNNNNNNNNNNNNNNNNNNNNNNNNNNNNNGCCGCCAUUGACCUCCCCACCGCCCAUCAAGCCCUCGCCGGUUUCUCGCCCAUUCGACGCGGAUCCGCCCUUCUCGGCCCCAAAUCAACAGCUGGAAAAUGGGUAUGGCAGCCCAUGUUUGGCCCAUUUUGGCGUCUUCCUGAGCCCGGAUGCUCGGCCCGCCUUGAGGAAAGUCGAUCCUCGCAUCGUCCCUGUCGUUUUGGUCCGCUCGGUUCGUUAAUCCGGUGAGUUUAGCUCACUAAACCUUGAUUAGAGGGUUAAUGAUGUUUUAGGGGUGCUUAUAUGUUAAGUGUUAUUAGGUGGUUAGUUUAAUUUAUUUAAGUGUAGAUUAUAUUAAGGUGUUUGAUUAACUUAAAUUGUGUUUAAUUUAAGGUUAAGUGAGUGGUUAUAUUAAUAUAAGCAUUGAUGUGACAUAAAGGAAUUUACUUUUGAGUUAUUUAAAUAUCCCGAAAUUAUUAAAUAAUUUAAUAAUAUAUUAUUAUUCGAAAUUAUUAAAAUAUUAUUAUUUAAUUAUUUUCGGAAGAAAUUUAAUUAUUUAUUAAAUUCCGAAAAUUUUGUCAGCACCUUAAAUUCUCAAAAUUUCGUGCCGAUCGCUGCUAUGUAGUCAGAUUUUGAAAUUGAUGAUUGGAUAUUAUAAAUUGAGUGUUGAUUGUGAUAAAUAGAGAUUUUAUUCAUAAAAACCCAAGUGUCGGGUUUGGCAUUGAAAUUGGAUUUUUAAUGGUUAAUAUCGUAAUUGGAUUAUGUGAGUGAAAUGUAAAGUAUCUAGGGAUCGGUAUCGAAUUAUCGUGUGCUGGUUGAAAGGCUCGGAUCGCAGUAGUGGCUAGGCCAACUGGACCCUUAUUUUGCUAUAAAUGCCGUCAAGAGAGUGACGUGGCUCGGGUCGCAGUAGUGGCUAGGCCAACUGGACCUUUAUUCAUUUAGAAAUGCCGUCAAGAGAGUGACGUGGCUCGGGUCGCAAUAGUGGCUAGGCCAACUGGACCUUUAUUCAUUUAGAAAUGCCGUCAACAGAGUGACGUGGCCCGGGUCGCAGUAGAGGCUAGGCCAACUGGACCCAUGCUCCUUCGGGAAUGCCGUCGACAUAGUGACGAAGCCGCGCUCCAAGGGGGGGAGGCGAUGCCUAGCAUUAAUGUUAGAAGAUAGCCGAACUGCAAGUAGGCUAUGCCCUUGUGUGGCAGCAAAUAAUAAUUGGAAUGCGUGCUAAGUGCGGCUGUGAUUUAUAUGAAAGUGAUGGCGUUCCAAUUGUUUGAAUUAUUAUUACUACCUAUGAUUGAGUGAUUUGAAUUGUGCUAACCUGCAGAAAGGAUCUAAGGCAAGGUAAGUUCUCUAUGUGAUGUGGCUAGGCCACCCUUAGGCGUAUUUUCUUUCUAAUAGGGGUUUAGGGGGUUGAACUUGUUGAGACAUUGUCUCAUCCCGGUUUGGGGAUUAAAAUUUCAGGUCCCUAGAUGGCGGUCGUGGAGGACCCGAAGCCCUAAGUCUGGAAAGGUGGAGACUGAAGUAUCGGUGAACGUGUCCUGCUAGUUGGUUUUAGGAUAGUUCCCCUUUUAUCGAACUGGUCUAUUUUGUAGACGGUCCAGAGUUGUAUUUAAACCUAUGUGUUUGUAAAUGAGUGUUUGGUGUUGCGAUUGAUUGCCUUUUUUUCUAUACCAAGUUAAAUGUUGUCAGGGGAUUUGUUUCGCUUCCACAUGCGUAAUGAAAUGAAUGGGUCGGCGACAUAUCCUGGGAUGUCGCAUAUUUGAUUGACCGCAGUGGGAUGUGCGCGCACUCGGGGUUCAGGGCGUGACAUCCCCGUUUAAGUGGUAUCAGAGCAUGGUUUGUGUAUGGAGUGAUAAGGUGCGAUGAGUCACGAGAUAGUUAGUAGGAAAGGCUUUUAAUAUACUGAUGCAUGUGGUUAAUAGUUGUUUGGUAAUGUGUUUGUGGGGUCACUCAAAUUCUAACAUGAUGUUGGAAUCGGAAAACUGGCGUCUAUAAAGAGCCUGUAGCAUGAGUGACCAGGAGUGGAGAACUCCUUGGAGGAGGUCGAUAGGACUUGUACCUCGGGGUAAGAUGCUGACAAGAGUUGGUACCCGAGGUAGAGCGCAGGCUCAGUCUAGCGUGUGUGUGAGAGUACCGCCGUAGGCAGGUACUGAGAGUGUAGCAGCACCGAGCGAUCUUAGGUUCGUUGGGAUCGUUCAGGCACUAGUGUUCCUUGGAAGCUUGUUGGGUCAGUAAGCUCAGGACCAAGCUGCCGUUGUUGCCGUUAUUUCUACCAAUGCCAGUGUUAUGACCGUUGUUGUUGCCACGCCUAUUGAGGCCCAAUCUGGAGUGGUGAUCGAGGAUCAAGCCAUCGUAUCUAAGUCAAAGUUCAGCUUAAGCAGAGAUGGAAAUCGAUUGGGGAGAAAGGCCGAUGUUAGAAGAAAGGUGCCCUGUUUCACCCAACCGGAAGAGUAGAGUUGGAAAGUCAGUGUUCAACUCGAUCGAUGUGUGUCGUGUCUGUAAGAAAAGAAAGAGAUCUAUUCCGUGUUGUAAGAGAGAAAGGAUUUGUUACAAGGGUCGCUAGUACAGUCAUUUGAUCAAAGAUUGUCCGUAUAGACAGAUGGAAUCACAGCUGUUUCUAUCACCGCCGUUGUUAAGUCAAAACAGAGGAAGCAUGCUUUAAGAUGUUUAGUGGGGUACUUGGAAUGAACCUUAGUGCAAGGAAGGGUGCAUGAUGUUCCUUGAUGGGAGAUAACGAAUUCACUGGUCGUGUGCCGAGAUUGUGGAAAGGAGGCUUGAGUCAGCCUAGUGUUAGAGUAAAAAUGGGGACGUGCUUUGAAUGUGGCUAGCAUGGCCGUCAGGUUAGGAACUGUCCGUGUAAGUUUAGGAGAGUGUAAGCACCGUUACUGCAGAUAGAACGCCGCUAGGAUGGCGAAAGGAAUAGGAAUGGAUUGACUAUGCAUUAAUUAAGGGAAGAAUGUUUUGAGGUGUUUUAUCAGAGUAGCACAACAGGAUUUUGAGUGAAGGUUGUGGAGUUUCCGUUGUUGUAAUAAAGUAAUAGGAAGAUGAGUCUUUGACUAUAGUUAUACCUGAUGGGUUUGCUUAUGUAUGACUUGGAAGUCAUUUAUGAAAAGGUCUGGCUCGAGGAGCUUUCCGCUGUUAUGAAUCGUGGCAGUGAUAUAAUUCGGUUUGUUCAGUCAGCGUAUGAAAGUUUUGAAUUACUGAAAGUCGAAGAGGAACUUCAAUCCUUGUUAUUCGUCGUUGAAGAUGACUUGGUUCUAUUUGUUGGUUACCGAAUUUGCAUGGCAGCUGUAAUGGGUAUGUCAGUUGAGAAGCUGAAUAUGGAGAACAUAAUCAUGGUACAUAAGUUUUCUAAGGUAUUCUCUGAAGAAUUGUCAGGUUUGUUGUCAGAAAGAGAAAUAGAGUUCGUGAUGAAAUUAGCACCCGGAACAGAGCCAGUCCCUAAGGCUCCUUACCAGAUGGUGUUACCCGAGUUAAAAGAACUGAAGGUGUAGAUGUAGGAAGUGUUGGAUAGGGGAUUCAUACGUUCCAGUGCAUCAUCUUGGGUAGCAUCUUUUCUAUUCGUGAAGGAGAAAUGUGGUUCGUUGUAGUUGUACAUCGAUAUUCUUCAAGAUCGACUUGAGGUCAGGGUAUCAUUAGUUGAGGAUCAGGAAGAAAGACAUAUCGAAGUUAAGUCACACUCGAUACAGUAGUUAUGAGUUCACUGUAAUGCUGUGUGGUUUAAUGGACACCCCAACUGUUUGUUUGGGUUUGAUGAGCAGAAUGUUUAAGGACACUUGAAUCAGUUGUGAUCGUGUUCAUUGAAGUUAUCCUAGUGUGUUCGAAGAGUGCCGAGGGGCAUGAGAGACGUUUGAGGAUGGUACUUCAGACCUUAAGUACUCUUGGAUUUUACAAUAAGCUUAGCAGAUGCGAGUUUUGGAUGACUCGUGUUGCGUUCCUAGGUCUUGUGAUUUCAAGAGAAGGAAUCUCCGUAGGCCCCGUCCAAGAUUGAAGCAGCGACCAGUUGGCCGAUAUUGACUACAAUGACAGAGAUUGGAAGUUUCUGGGAAUUAGCAGGAUAUUACAGAAGUUUUAUGGAAGGGUUUUCAGCGUCAGCAUUGCAGUUGAUUCGACUACUGAGGAAGUAAGAAAAGUUUGUGUGGUCAGAUGAGUGCGAGCGUAGUUUUCAAGAGCUUAAGCAGAAGCUGACUACCGCACUUGUGCUGACCAUUCCAUCUGGUCUUGAAAGUUAUGAGAUCUGCAAUGAUGCAUCGUUUAAAGGAUUUGGUUGCUUGUUGGUGCAACAAGAUAGGGUUGUUGCAUAUGCGUUCCGUCAGUUAAGACCUCGGGAGUUGAAUAUGAGACAGCGUUGUUGGAUGGAACUCAUUAAGGAUUAUGACUAUGAUAUUUUGUAUCACUCUAGAAAAGUGAGCAAAGUCACAGAUGCACUGAGUCGAGAGUCCUUAGUUGCACAGUUGGUACUCAAGGAUUGGAUCUUAUUUGAGAAAGUUCGAAAUUCGGUUUUCAAAUCUAAGGUAGGCCACAUUUUGAAUCUUAUGACUACCCUCAGAAUUGAGCCGAGAGUACAGAUCAGAAUCAAAUCGUUUCAGUGGACAGAUUUAGAAAUUCAGAAGACUUUAUAAGAGAAUGCAGAUGAGGGAGAGGUUGAGUUUCAGAUCUCUGAAAACAUAAUGCUAAGGUUCUAAGGACGAUUGUGUGUAAUUGACGAUGCAGAGAUUAAAGAAGAGAUCUUAUGGGAAGUUCAUCAUAGCAAUUUCAGAGUCAUCUAGACGGUGCGAAGAUGAGUUAGAAUCUACAUCAUCGGGAUUGGUAGAUCAGUAUGAAGAUAGAUAUCGCCGAACACGUUGUAAGUGUUGAAUGUAUCAAUAAGUGAGAAUUUGGUAAUGUAAACCAGGAAAGCUUUUUCAAGCAUUUGAGAGAGUCAUGUGUAGGAAUGGAAGUAUAGCAUGAUGGAAUGUUAUGACAGCUUAUUAAGGAGUCGGGAAGAGUAUUGAUUCCUUAUGGGGUUGUGGUCGACAGAUGCACAAAGUCAACUCACCUUAGUGCAACACGAAAAGAUCUCGAUUAGAAUAGAUAUACCGAAGUGUGUGUAUAUCAUAUAAAUCAUCUGCAUGGAGUGCCGGGGAUGCAUUGUAUUUCAAAUCUAGAUCAGAUUCCAAGCUGGCAGAGCUUUUAGAUGGUUCCUUCUUAAGUAGCACAUAGCAGAGAGUGCAGAAUUUCAAUUGCUGAGAUGAAGUCAAGGAAAGAAAGAUCACAGGCCAGGGUUAGUACAACAGUCAGUGAUUGCAGUUGCCGAAAUCAGUGUCAAAGUUAUAUCAAAUCUUGACCAGAGGUUCCCAGUUUCAGCAGAUCAGUCAGAUAGUUUCUUUUUUUAUCAGUGCAGAGCAGAGUGUUCAGGACUUCAAUCGGUUAAGAUGAGAUCAGAGAUCAGAAAAUCGUAGGUCCAGAGUUUGUCCAGAAAUCAGUGAUUCGGUCGUGAUUAUUAGAGACAGUUUAGAGACUGCUCAGAAUCGCCAGUUUAGUUUCGCAGAUUUUGUAUUGAAGACCUUUUGAAUUUUAAGUGGGCAAGUGUUUAGUAUUGUGCAUCCGAAGUGGUUUGGGCAAGAUAGCAGUGAUCUGGCAUCGCUGAUAUAGAAAGAGCAACCUGAGAAAGAGAAUUCUAGAUGAGACGAGUGUACCCCCACCUUUUUGUUUAAGAAUUGGUAAAGGUUUAAAUUUCGAGGACGAAAUUUUUAUAAGAGGGUAAGAGUUGUAACAUCCUGAUUUUCCAAUUCUAUUUUCAAUAAAUUGAGACGGGCAUUUCGUUGGCACGCAUAUAGUUUUUUUAUCCUUGAGUCGGCCACUCAUGUGAAAACUAGUUUAUCGGGUGAAGCCGUUAAGAAAUUCUAAAGCAUCAGACUUGAGAAUUUGACCAAGAAGCGAUCUUUCGACCGAGCUAAUCUGCAAGGGUCAUUACGACACAAUUAAAAAUCGAUUAGAGAUCGGAAAUAGGUCGACUCGAUAGAGGCAUGUAAUCGGGUGUGGGUGAUUCCACCAGAUUGCACAAUUCUUGUGGAUCUGCACUGGACUGACUUUUCUGUCGAUUGGGUACCCUGUGUUCGUAUUUGAAACCUUGAGAUUACCCCGACAACCGAAAGUCGCCAAUGUUUCAAAGAUGUACGUUGUGGCUUGAGAUAAUCAACCACAGGUCAAAUGCAUGAAAAUUUCUAAAGGCUACCCGGUAGGUUGGACCGCGCUGGUAUCGUGCCAAAGUGAAAUUAACCGUGGAAUUGAGAUCGAAUUCAGAAAUUGGAAGUCUGGGUGUGUCACAAAUCAUUUCAGGAUCAUUGAAUCAUCUUUGGAAGAUUUUUCAUGCAAUCAGAGUUUUUCAGCAAUUAAAUCAGAGAAUGGCUAAUUUGGCUCGAGAAAUUAGUAGGCUCGUCUUUAGUCGCGCUUUUGGGACUUAAGUCGGUUCUAUGGACAAGUGAAGAUGUGAAUUAGAGUGUGGUGGCAUUGGAUUAAUUUUAUGGACUUCAAUUUGAUUCAAUUGGGAGAGAAUUGAUUGGAAUUGAAGGAAUUGAUGUACAAAGUUUUAUGCCCCGGCAGAAAAUGGAAUUGCAACCAUUAGAAUAAGGUUGUGGGAGAUAGUGGAGUGUGAUGUCAUCCUAGGUCAUGGUGGGCCAUUUUUGUUGGAUAAAAAAAAGAGAAAAAGAAAAUAAAAAGGGCCUCCCUCCUUCUCUCUCCUCCCUCUCUUCUUCCUCUCUCCCGUGCGACCACUCUCCAUCUCCAUUUUCUUCUCCAGCUUCGAACCCAGCAACCAGAAGCCAGCAGCCGUCGCAGCUGCAGCUGGAGCCGUCGUCGCCUUUGCUCGUCCGCUCGUCGUCGCAGCCGCGCCUCGCCGCUUGGACCUCGGCCUCCCUCUCUCCUCUCUUCUCCAUCUCCGGUUUCUGCUCCAAGACCCAGCAGAUCUGAGCACGCCGAGGAUGGCUGCAGCUCAGCCGAACCGCCGUUCGCCGCUCGCCCGACCAGCUCGCCCGUCGCCGAAGCUCGUUGCUGUCGCCAUUCGUCCACAUGCACGUUGUCUUGUGCGCGAGCUACUCCGCCCUCCUAUCUCUGCUUCGUCCGCGCGCCAGCAGCCAUCGUCCGUCGUCCCGAGCUGCCGGAGCUCGUCCCCGUCACCGUGAGCCGCCAUUGACCUCCCCACCCGCCCGUCCAAGCCCUCGCCGGUUUCCUCCGCCCAUUCCGACGCCGGAUCCGCCCUUCUCGGCCCCAAAUCAGCAGCUGGAAAAUGGGUAUGGCAGCUCAUGUUUGGCCCGUUUUGGCCGUCUUCCUGAGCCCGCACGCUUGGCCCGCCUUGAGGAAAGUCGAUCAUCGCGUUGUCCCUGUCGUUUUGGUCCGCUCGGUUCGUUAAUCCGGUGAGUUUAGCUCACUAAACCUUGAUUAGAGGAUUAAUGAUGCUUUAGGGGUGCUUAGUUUAUGUUAAGUGUUAUUAGGUGGUUAGUUUAAUUUAUUUAAGUGUAGAUUAUAUUAAGGUGUUUGAUUAACUUAAAUUGUGUUUAAUUUAAGGUUAAGUGAGUGGUUAUAUUAAUAUAAGCGUUGAUGUGACAUAAAGGAAUUUACUUUUGAGUUAUUUAAAUAUCCCGAAAUUAUUAAAUAAUUUAAUAAUAUAUUAUUAUUCGAAAUUAUUAAAAUAUUAUUAUUUAAUUAUUUUCGGAAUAAAUUUAAUUAUUUAUUAAAUUCCGAAAAUUUUGUCAGUACCUUAAAUUCUCAUAAUUUCGUGCCGGUCGCUGCUGUAGUCAAAUUUUGAAAUUGAUGAUUGGAUAUUAUAAAUUGAGUGUUGAUUGUGAUAAAUAGAGAUUUUAUUCAUAAAAACCCAAGUGUCGGGUUUGGCAUUGAAAUUGGAUUUUUAAUGGUUAAUAUCGUAAUUGGAUUAUGUGAGUGAAAUGUAAAGUAUCUAGGGAUUGAUAUCGAAUUGUCGUGUGCUGGUUGAAAGGCUCGGAUCGCAGUAGUGGCUAGGCCAACUGGACCCUUAUUUUGCUAUAAAUUUCGUCAAGAGAGUGACGUGGCUCGGGUCGCAGUAGUGGCUAGGCCAACUGGACCUUUAUUCAUUUAGAAAUGCCGUCAAGAGAGUGACGUGGCUCGGGUCGCAGUAGUGGCUAGGCCAACUGGACCUUUAUUCAUUUAGAAAUGCCGUCAAAAGAGUAACGUGGCUCGGGUCGCAGUAGUGGCUAGGCCAACUGGACCUUUAUUCAUUUAGAAAUGCCGUCAACAGAGUGACGUGGCCCGGGUCGCAGUAGAGGCUAGGCCAACUGGACCCAUGCUCCUUCGGGAAUGCCGUCGACGUAGUGAUGAAGCCGCGCUCCAAGGGGGGGAGGCGAUGCCUUGCAUUAAUGUUGGAAGAUAACCGAAUUGCAAGUAGGCUAUGCCCUUGUGUGGCAGCGAAUAAUAAUUGGAAUGCGUGCUAAGUGCGGCUGUGAUUUAUAUGAAAGUGAUGGCGUUCCAAUUGUUUGAAUUAUUAUUACUACCUGUGAUUGAGUGAUUUGAAUUGUGCUAACCUGCAUAAAGGAUCUGAGGCGAGGUAAGUUCUCUGUGUGAUGUUGCUAGGCCACCCUUGGGCGUAUUUUCUUUCUAAUAGGGGUUUAGGGGGUUGAACGAGUUUGGGGAUUAAAAUUUUAGGUCCCUAGAUGGCGGUCGUGGAGGACCCGAAGCCCUAAGUCUAGAAAGAUGGAGACUGAAGUAUCGGUGAAUGUGUCCUGCUAGUUGGUUUUAGGAUAGUUCCCCUUUUAUCGAGCUGGUCUAUUUUAUAGACGGUCCAGAGUUGUAUUUAAACCUAUGUGUUUGUAAAUGAGUGUUUGGUGUAGCGAUUGAUUGCCUUCUUUUCUAUCCCAAGUUAAAUGUUGUCAGGGGAUUUGUUUCGCUUCCACAUGCGUAAUGAAAUGAAUGGGUCGGCGACAUAUCCUGGGAUGUCGCAUAUUUGAUCGACCGCAGUGGGAUGUGCGCGCGCUCGGGGUUCGAGGCGUGACAUUUACUUUCAAUCACAACCUAGCUCGAAUCAUCAGGGGCCGCCGGAAUCGAACCGGCAUCGACCAUAAGAACGCGUGGCAACAAGGCACAAUCCGCAAUCGGCGACAAGGAGGGAAGGGAAAGAGGGGAGGGGAGGAGCAAUCGGCUCGCGAAGGAACAUGGGCGGAAUCCGCCCGAUUCUCUCUUCUCGAUCUCCCUCCACAUUCUUCGAGCAUCUUCGUCCUCUCUCUCUCCCCCCACUUCGCCCCUCCGUCCUCAAAAGCCACGGACGAACUUGGGAAGAAGGAGAUUCAGGGCGUCUGCGAAAUGUUCUGGUUCGAGCCCAGGAACAAGAUGGAAAAGACGACGACGGUGAAGAAGAAGCUGAUUCGAGAAUUCCAAAAUUUGUGUUUUUUCCUUUUUAUGUGCCGAGAUUUACCGGCCCAAUUCGGGGAACUGUUGGGAGAUUUGAACUGGGCUCCUGAACUAGGUUAUGAUCGAAAGUGUUUUUCUGAUACCUGAACAAGCAAGGGACGUUUUUAUCUUUUCUAUCCUUCAACUCCCCCUCUCUUUCUCUCUCCUCCUCCUCCUCCUCCUUCUUCUACGUGGGUUUUCCGGGAAAAUAAGGAAAACAGCCAGAAAGCACAGGGAAAGAGAGAGACAGAGAGAGACCCGGAUCAGUCAAACGAAGCCUCGCGGUGCCUUUUGCGGGUCGUGUGUUUUCUACUCUGGGCGAAAGCACGAUACCAGUAGAUCACUAUAGGCGCUCCGUUUCAGGUGCUACUGUGUAUAUUAAUGGCGGAAUCUUGGCGGAGUUAUAGCCGUGCGCAGACAGCGGAGUGGAUACGAAUGGAGGAGACGAGGUUGAAGACACCUCAAACCCGAACGGCCCCACCCACAUAUAAAUAGGAUCUUCCUCGUCGCAGCCAGAAAUACCGAUUUUGCCGCCUUCUUUUUCUUUUUCUUUUUCUUUUUCUUUUAUUUCUUUUGGGCAAUGAUCCUUUUUUUUUCCCCGAAUUUCGUUAUUUGAAUUUCUUGAAUGAGCCCCGCGAUUUACUCCACUGCCUAGCAUGCUUAUGCACGAGCGCAAGCAAUUGCAAACGUAGGAUUUGGAUUUGGACAGACACGUUAGGCAAUUUAGCCAAGUAAGGAGCGAAGUAUAUUUUAUUCAACCUUGAAGUGUGUUUAUCAUUUAUUCAAACCGAAAUUUUCACACACACACAUAUAUACAUAUAUAUCUCAAGAUAGAAAUCACAGUUAUCAAGCAAAUAAAGAGAUAGACAGAGGAAAUUAUAAUCUUCCAGUCCAGAAUAGAUAAGGCUAUUUGUGUAAAAUUCCUUUUAUAUGAGUGCGUAGGAGCUAUUUGUGCAUGACGCACCAAUCGUAGGUGAGCGAUUGCUUCCUUGGGAGUACCCAAUCAUAAUAAUAAUACUUGCAUGUCGAAGAAAGUCAACUAAAAAAUUUAUGACGUCAUAGAAGUUUGUCAAAGGAGUAACUUGAGACAUUUGACACUCAGCAAAAAGAUAAAAAUAAAAGAUUUUUUUUUUUUGUGACCUAGGAAACCCCGAAAGCCGAUAGCCAGCAGGAAGAACCUGGGGGCAACAUGGGGAAACCACCACCCCAUGCCACCGGGUAAGUCACCAAGUAACUCCACUAGCCCCCUUGCGUUGCAAGGGCUUUGAACCUCUCCCCUCCCACGCAGAAGAUCACUAAAGCCUACCCAGCGGAGCCACCAGGGCCAGUGGUAAGAUUUUCUUUUAUUGUUUCUAUGCAACGAGUCCUCAAAAGGAAUUUCUAAAAAAUGCAGAGCUAUAUUGGGUCAAAGGGACUUCCCUCAGAAAUUGUGAAACUACGGGAGAAAAGGUUAUGUAUUCAAUAAAUUACUCAUAUUUACGCGUCACUCUAAUCUUAUGUGGUGAGUCCUUGACCAAUUUCCAAGCUAUUAGAAUUUUAGAAUAAUUUCUUCACUUCUCAAUAGUUGUUUCAUGAUAAAUUGAUUUGCUUAUCCCAAAUUAUGAAAUCUAAAAUUAUAUAUGAACAUGCAUUUAUUGAGACAUCUUAAAAAUUUCAAUGCGUUCCCACCAUCAUUUAUUAUUUAUUAUAUAUAAUAAUGGAGAUGUCAUUUGAAAUUUCAGAUCUUGAUGUAUGCACUGGGAUAACUAAUCAUAUUUCUUCUAUGAAAGUUUUAGCUGGCUCAAAAUUCUUGGCCUAUGCCUCUCUUGAUUAAGAGGACCUUUUGUUAAAUGGUGUUUGAGUACUUAACGUGGACUCCCAUUCAUAGAAUAGUCCUUUAUCAAACAUUUAAUAUGAGCAAAUCAUCAUAAGAUUCUUACGCACUGUCAAGAAUUUAAAAUGUGGAAUCUAACUUUUAUAAUUCUUAAGUAUGUUAAUUGCGAUAAAAUAAGAGUCCUACGGUACUUUCCUUGUUGUAGAGCCAACUUUAUGUUACAAUAGAAAUACAUUAACCCUUAUCAUGCUGUGCAUCCACAUUAUGCGACCCAUUGAUAUGGUGUCACCAAUUGAUAAAAGUGCUAUGGUUUAGAAAAUUACAAAAUAAUUCGGGCUAAGUACUUUAGGUUGGUCUUAACUUAGGAGUUACUCGAGUAGAAACCCCAUUUCAGUUAUGUGAAAGUGGUGUACAUUUUAGUUUUUUGGUCGAAAGGAUGAGUAAUAUUAACAUAACGGAGAGUAAUUACAAACAGCACAACCAGCCGCUAAAGCAUCAAAACAAAGUAAGGUAAGCAAAAAGGAGGGCGGCGAGGUAGCCCAAUCUUGAGAGAGGAGCCCAUUUCGAUGAGCCUUUGCAGCCCAAUCCACAACAGAGUUCGCUUGCUGUUUGCAAUGCGUUACCCUAGUAGAAAAGAAAUCGAGAGAGGAGGCUGAUGGCCUCUGCAGCGAUUGCACGAGCUUCCCAUGGCAAUGGCGUAGAGGCAUUGAUCGAUUCUACUAAAAUAAGGUUGUCUGACUCGAUGAUCAACCGAUCUCGUUGUCUUCCAGUGUCUAGCAGAUGGUAAAGAGUGAUAGUAAGAGCCAUGAACUCUACUUGUGGAGCUGUCGAGGCGUUGAAAUCUCUGGUGAGUCCAUCAACCAACCUCCCAUUUUGACCCCUACAAAUACACGCCAUAGUCCCUGUUUUGCUGUGAGGUCGAAAAGCUCCAUCUAUAUUUAUUGGAAAAAGUAUUAGAAUACAUAAAAUAAUAAUAAUUAUUGGAAAUACAUUACAAAAGAUUAGAAAAUAAAAAGAAAUGUCUGAGGCGUGCAAACACUCGGUGCGUAAGGCUUCAGCAGCUAUCCUCCCAAGAUACAACAGACCUUCUUUUAUACUCCGCACUGAAUAUUAGAAGGAAACAGAACAACUUUUGUGUAUAACCCAACAAAAAGAAAAUGAAAGCUGUGAGAACAUAUUGUAUCUACUACGAUUGUGGUUUGAAGUUUAAUUUAUAUUUAAAAAAGGAAAAGAGAGAGCCGUUAAGAAAUUACAAUAAAUCAAUUGGUAAUUAAAAAGAUGACUGUUAUAAAAUAAUGAAGAGUUUAUAAAGUAAUAAAUCAAAAGUUAUAAAGCCGUUAGAUGACCAUUAUAUAACCAUUAGAAAGCCAUUAUAUGACCAUUGAAAAAGCCAUUACAAAAAUGAUAACUUUCAUGACGAUCAUAAUUUCUAAUUAAUAUUUCAAAACUACUUAAAUAUCCAACAAUCCCCCGUAUAUUUCAAAAAGUUCUGACAAGAAAAUAAAAUAAUGCUAGGUUAUUGAAGAGUAAUGCAUCGGAAUAGGUGCUUAUUAGGCUAUGAACCAACCCUAGAAAGAAUGAAAUAUAAUUCAUGAAAUCACUAGUGAAGUUUGAAACUUCUAUGAACCAAGAAUUUCUUUUUGUGAAUUAUAAUUUUCACCAAUCACAUUACACUCCCACAAACUUUGUUGUUCAACGCGGUUUUGCGCUAAUAGGCCAUGCGCGUGCUUGGUUUAUUCAUAAGUGCUUUAGAGAUUUUCGCCAAAAAUUCUCAUAGGAGCGGCCCCACCCCACACUUAUAUAGGUGAUUCCAUCAAGUGUAUUCUGCAAUUUAAUACACCACCAAUAAUGGCUAUAGAAUUUCAUUAAGAGCUUAGUUCAACCUCUUUUUCCUUGCAAUUUUGCACUAUUUUCACCUUAGGAUGGACAAUAAUUUUUAAUAGUGUACUAGAUCAACAAAUGACUUGUUAUUACCCAUAUGAAUCUAAUUCAUGAGAUCGCCAAUCACAUAGGUUGGGUUACUAUUAUUGUUUAUUUUCUUCAAUUGACUUGUCCAUUCCCCUCAAUGUAUAGUCAAAGGAUUGGCCAAAAUCCAUUUUUGAUUUCAUAUAAUUAAUGGACAUAAUUCCAUCAUUAAGCAACUGCUUUACCACGUCAUCCCUCAAUCGGAUUUGUCAAUUUUUAUCAUAUCUAUGCAUGGCUAUUGCCUCUUGGCAAUCAUGAUAUAUAAACACAAAAUGUGUCAUUUUCCCAAAGGAAUAUCUGCUGAGAGUUUCUCAAUUACUCGGCCUCAUUUUCAUAUAUGAGUUUGAGAAAAAAAAAUUCCUUUUCCUCAAGAACUUGAAUAGUUCACAAUUUACCAAAAAAAUAGUAAAUAUUUUCUUCUCCUUCACCCAUUGGAACCUAAGAGGAUAAGGCAUUUUGUUUACACAUAUAUGCCUGGUAGCACUUGAGUCUACCACCCAUAAUUUCUCGAUUAGCCACAAUAUUGGCAUGGGAAUGACCACAUCAAUUACUUCAUCAAAUCAUCUACUUCAACCAAGUUGACUCUUGGUUUAGCAGGAUUGCCAUUUCCCCCACGAUUUCAUUUGAUUGAUUUCCACCGGGUGAACACAUAUUUGUUAGUGGAUUUUAUCUAAUAUGAAUUCAAGAUCCAGUUAACAUCACCGUAUCCUUAUAAUACAGUGGAAAAUCCACUAUAAUAAACUUGACAAUAAUCACCUUUUAACAAAAUAUUUCACAAAAGACAUCAAUCUUAUUCAAUAUAGAUCUAUGUUGGCUAUGGAUGCAAAGAAAUAAAAAUAAAUUUCAUCUCCACAACAUUCACUAAAGGAGAUUCUCUUUCCCAAUACAGUAGCCAAUCAAGUCUCUAAUUAUCAUCAUGCAUGAAUGGACAUUCAACAUAAAUUGACAAAGUAAAUAUUCUUACAAAGAACAUUUUUUUUUUUACAUCAUUACUGCUGUCAAUAAUACAUGUUAUUCCAAAAAUGUUAACCAAAACUCAGAGGUUAGCAGAAAUCCAAAAUGAAUUAAUAAUUUCACAAAAUAACUAUAAGACUUCCUUUGAGUGUUAUAUACGAAUCACCAAAAAUGUCUCAACAAUGCAUACUCAAUACAAAACAUGUAAUCAAUUUAAUUAUGCAAUAAAAUACUAUUUAAUAAUUCUAUCAAAAGUUAUGCGUGAAAAAUUCGAUCGUUGCAAAAGAGACAUUACAAUCUUUAACCCAUAAAUUUGUGGCUAUUAUUCUAAUAAAUUCAAGAAUAGAAUCACAGCAAUUUUGACAAGAAAAAUAUUUGAACUAAAACUUUAGUAGUCAUAAAUAUACUGCCAACAAUGUUUUACACUUGUAAAACUCAAAGUAGACUUUAACUCUUUAAGCAACAUUUAAAUGUCUGAAAUGUGAAAUAUAAAAAAUAUCACAAAAGGCAGGAUGCAAAAGGCAUACUCACUAAAUUGCCGAUUACGCUAAUAUAGCUAGAAAAGUAAUUAAUGGCAAAUAUUGGGGUGUAUCAUUAGUCAAUUGAAUAGUAGUCGCCCAAUUAUUCUUUCAGCUUGUGCUUGCUAAAUUGGGUCUCCAUUCUAUUCUCUUUCUAUCAAGCAUAAUUCCAUGUCGUUGAGAAGGCAAGAAUCUGCCACCAUUCUAAUGCUAGAGAAGUUCUAUAUGUGCGUGGACGAGAGAGAAGUACCAUAUCUUCAUGUAUUUAUCAAACAUACACAUUGUCAUGCAGCAAAUACCAACACAUGUAUGAGCAUAUACAUAAAUAGAGGCCCACGCUGCACUUCCAAGCAAGCAUGAAUAAAGAUAUGCCACCAAAUACCAACACAAGCUCGUGUCUACACUUACUUGAGCAUAUUGGCAUGGACAUCACCAACCGAAUAAUGAUUGUAUGCACUCUAGCAUAUUCCCAAGAAUGACAAGACAAAACUGUGAGGAAUACUUAAGAAUUUUGUUCCAUAGUCAAAUGGCACCUAUUUUCAAAAUCUAUAAGCACAAUAAUAUAAGGUAAAAAGAGCGUAAUUUUAGUGGUAAAACACAAAAAUCCCACAUGACAGCAUCCAUUGUUUCGCUAAAAAUAAUUAUAUAUAACCUGGUCCAACAUGGGCGAGCUCGAUAAGUUUCUGUAGAGAUGGAGCCAAAGACAAAUUAAAUAACAGGCAAAAACAGUUAUAAACUGGCUUCAUGAAUGUACAUUAAACAAAUGUUAGCAAGAGAAUAGGAAGAAUUAAGAACAAAUGGAAACUAUUUUGAGUAACAGAGAAGCGCCCCAAUUUCUAAUCCUAAAUGGAUGAUUAUUAAAAUAAUCACGAACUUGAGAGAGAAAACACCUACACACGUCCGACUUUCUAUUGGAAAAACAAGUAUAGGUAUUAAAGCCCCAAAAUAAAAAUAAAUAUAUAAAAGAAAUAUUAGCCCGAUUUCUUUCCAUUUCUUUUAUGGUUUUCCUUUUCUAUUUCUUUUUAAUUACCACACGGAAUCACUAUGUCAUUUUUAAAGAUUUUCUACAUAGGUAAUUUUGAAAAUUUGUAAGCAUCUUCCGUAAAAGUAUAAGACCACACAUUCAUGGAAUAUGUCUAACAAGAUCAAAUCAAAUCUAAAGAGAACACACAAGCUCGUAAUGCCAAAUUUCACAUAUUAGAAUGAAAGGAUCAUGACCUAUGUGAUGAUUAUUCCUCAAAAUGUGGAAAUAGCGUGCCAAAAUGGCAAUUACACCUUUCAAGUAUUAAUUUAGAAUUUCCAAAAAACGACAUACUUGAAACUCAAUAACCUUACCAAAACGACCAAAAGCUAUAUUGUGUUAAUGCUUGAUACCGUCCCAUGACAAACCACCCAAGAAUAUGUGAUACUCGUCCUUCACCAUCUCCAAAUCCUUGUUUAAUUCCAACGUCAGUGGAAGCACCAACAGUUCCAAUUUUGAAAGCUAUAAGGGAAUUAUCCUUAAGAUUGUUGGGAAAAGUAUUAGAAUACAUAAAAUAAUUAUUAUUAUUGGAAAUACAUUACAAAAGAUUAGAAAAUAAAAAGAAAUGUUUGAGGCGUGCAAACACUAUCCUUAAGGAUAAUUCCGCUCCUCGGAGUACGUAACUCGGUGCGUAAGGCUUCAGCGUCUAUCCUUCCAAGAUACAACAAACCUUCUUCUAUACUCUGCACUGAAUAUUAGAAGGAAACAGAACAACUUUUGUGUAUAACCCAGCAAAAAGAAAAGGAAAGCCGUGAGAACAUAUUGUAUCUACUAUGAUUGUGGUUUGAAGUUUAAUUUAUAUUUAAACAAGGAAAAGAGAGAGCCGUUAAGAGAUCAUCAUAAAUCAAUUGGUAAUUAAAAAGAUGAUUGUUAUAAAAUAAUGAAGAGUUUAUGAAGUAAUAAAUCAAAAGUCAUAAAGCCAUUGGAUGACCAUUAUAUAACCAUUAGAAAGCCGUUAUAUGACAAUUGAAAAAGCCAUUACAAAAAUGGUAACUUUCAUGACGAUCAUAAUUUCUAAUAAAUAUUUCAAAACUACUGAAAUAUCCAACAAUAUUCACCUUAAUGCAGCCUGGAUCUGGAGGUCUCCACAGUUCGCCAAGGUUGAUUUGCAGCUGUCCUAUUGCUGCUCUUGUUCCUGUUCCCGAUGAUUUGCAAUGGGAUAAACAAGCAGCUCUGGCGGUGGCGAGGGCCACUUCGACAACUUGCAUCACAUCCAACGCUGGCGACGAAAUAUAAAACCAUUACGCGCUUUCCAGAUUUGCCAAAGGACAAAGGCCACCAUUUCUAGAUCGGGUGAGGAGUAAUUUAUGUUGAAACUAUCUGCAAUCCAUUCGUCAAGUCUCUGUAUUCCCUGCAGAUCUAUUUGAAAGUUGAUUUUCAAGUGCGACCAUAUAGAUUUCGUCCAUGGACAAAGUAGGAAAAUAUGCUCUACUGUUUCCAGUAUUUGGUUUUGGCAGAGAGUACAUACGUCGAUGAUAUAGAUUGGCUUUAGUGGGAAGGGCAUUGUGACAUAGCGACCAUAGAAAUACCCAAACUUUGGGCUCUAUCUUCAGCUUCCAUAGUUGUUUCCAUAGAAUCGCCAGAGUCUGGUAAGAGCAUAUUGCUGUAUGUUGAUUCUUUGUGACCUCGGCAUUUUUUAUUGCAUGGUAGCCGCUUUUAAUGGUGUAAUCACCAUCAGUAGUUGCUGUCCAAAUGAGCUUAUCUCUGACAUAAACAAGUCUAACCUGAAUUGCGAGAAUUUCUUGGACAAUAGAUUCAUCGUAUAAGUUAUGAAGCAGUGGAAUAUUCCAGUCAUGUGUCUGCAUGUUGAGCAAUUCAGCAACCUUAGCUAGUUCAUUGCAGUUUGCAGGUCCUUCCAAAAUGGAUUACAUAUUAAUACAUAGACUCUUAUUGAAUGCUUAGGUGUAAGGUUUUGAUAUGAGCCUCUUUUCUUUAUCUUUUUUUGGUAAAUAUUCAUGAUGAUUUGCCACAUCUGACAUCACUUCGUACAUUAAGGUCAUAAAGGUUUCUAAUUAUAAGGCCACAUUAUUAUUUUCAUUGUGAUACUAAAUUCAUAGUUAUGUAGUGACAACCACAAACUUUUUAUAUUGUAUCACUGCUACAAAUCAUGUGGUUUGACUAAAUCCUACCAUGCUUUUCUCUAUGAUGUAAUCUCCAAUUUGUGCAAUUCUUGCUCUGCCGAAAAGUUAUUAAUUUUAUUUAUUGAUAAGUCGCUUGUGUUCUCUCAAGCUUUACCUAAAAACAUUAAGAAAAUAGAAAUUAUAGAUUGGGAAUGGAGAAGGCUUCCCACAACCACUCUUUGCCAAAAAAAAAAAAAAAAAGACCCAACAAAUUUGUGGCAUUGAAUAAAUCCAUAUCAGAACAACUGGAAUUGAUGAUGUCAGGCGCGACUAUUUUGCACGAUAAGAAUGUAUCCUAAAAUAAAUAUAAAUUAUAAAAUGAAAACUUAAAUAUAAUAUGACAUGACAUGCCACACUUAACUUCAUAUUUGAACACAAACUCACAAACAUAUAUAUAUAUAUAUAUGGUAAGUACAAACUCACAAAUAUUAACGUGGCUUCAUCGUAUUUUAGUUAUUUGGCAUAUAGAAUCAAAAUCUAUAUGUUUCUAGGUCUACAUAAAUUCGAAUUAUAAUAUUAAUCAUGACAUGUCAACACGAACUGUCACCCCUAAUACCAAGAGUAACUUGCACGUCAUCCAUACAUCUCUCGGUACACAAGAAGAGCUGAACCCAACAACAGCAGUGCCACGGAAAGUAGAGCCGACUGUACAGCGGCUGACAAUGGAAUGCGUCCUUUAUCCGACCUUACCAUCCCUUCAAUCACAGGGUAGCUCAUCACCAGGAUGAAGAACGACAGAGCAAUCUGCGCAAGCAACUUGUCCCAACCUCCCAAGACGAGCACCCGAGCGAUUCCUCCGACAAAGGAAGCCAUGCUCAACAUCACUAGAGCCACUAUCGGGGCCAAGAACACGAUCGAUGUUCGGAAAUCAAAUACGCCCUUUUCGUACAUCUCCAUUUGCUCGUCAUCGGCGACUUUGCUAGUAGGCAAGAAGCUCGCUCUCCUCACCCCGGUUUUCGUCAGAACGGCAUUUAUGCUCCCGUAUAGAUAAGUGGUCACCGAGUGGAUCAUCCAUAUCCGUUGCUCGUUUAUAAACGUCCGGACCGAGUGACCACUCACGACGACCUCGUAGAGAUGCUUGGAAAGUGAAGAUAGGAAAACGAAGCAAUACACGAGGAACAAUGAGCUCGAAACCUGGCGUGCCAAAAGAAUCGAUGUUCAUGAGUCAUGAUUAUAUGUUACUCAUGAGUCAUGAUUAUAUGUUACUCGCGUUCAAUAGCAUCAAAGAUUUGAUUGGUUCACGGGAAUGAAAAGCCUACAUAUGAGAAUAGCUUACCUCCGGAUAAAUGGGGACGCCAUUGAAUAGACAUAUCUGGGGAAUGGUGGCUAAGCAGCAGAGAGGCAAGCAGUAGAGGGGGAAGAACGCAAGCUCGGUAUAACACAUGCUCUGAAGAAUGCUCAUUCUCCAUGGUCCAUAAAUCGGAGGAGAGAAUCUGGAGAACCCGACCUGAGCCAACCCGGAACUCCAUCUUGUGACUUGAACAAGUAGGUCAUUCAAAUUUGUCGUGGAAGCCCCCAAAAAUUGCGGCUGCGACGGGCGACAGUACACUGAUUUCCAUCCUUUGCAGUGCAAGGCGAAGCUGGUGAAGAAGUCUUCCGCCACAGAUCCAUACUUGAAACCGAC
rnacentral:lncRNA from 1 species